CUUAUCUUAUUAGAUGGAAAAUAAGUUGAAGAGAAUACUAAAAUAGGAAUAAUUGCCUAUAUACCUCUCAUACAUUUGAAAAUAUCCGAUUUAUCCCUACUUUUUUUUCAUAUGUUCCACCGUUAUUGCAAAAUACUUCCGCAGUUAUCUCCUGUUAAGUUAACUUGAGUUAAACGUAAGUUAAAUAUCUACUACAGUUAAAAAAAAUUAAAAUGCCAAUUUUUCCCUUAACUUAAGGGCAAAUAAGAAAUGUUGGUGACGGUAAAGAGUUAUAUUGGAAAAGACCAAAAGUCAAAAUACUUUUUGUGCCCUUAACUUUAAGGGCAAAUAAGAAAAUCAGUGAUGGUGGAAGGGUAUAUUUGAAAGGGCAAAAUAAUAAUUUUACAGAGUUAACAAGGUUAAUUAACAGAUUUUAACUCUAAGGGUAUAUGAGAAAUAGGUUGGAACGUAAAGAGGGUAUUUUCAAUAUUAGUCUUUUAACGAAAAGUUAACGAAAGGAUCGACGAAAAGAGAAAAAUAAAACUAUAUGAUACUAAAUUAAUAUACUUUAAACCACAUAAUAUUGAAAUGAGAAACUGCGAAAUUACAGGGGCGGUAUUUGAAGUUUAUCCUUUUUUUUAAUCAAACCAUAAUAAGAAAUUCAGUUUCUAAAAAUCCCACUCUUUAUCCUUUACUCUUAGUUAAGCAAACAUGCUCUUAAUAAAAUAAUUACUUAUAAUUACAUAUAAACAUAUCCGUACAAGCAUAUAUAACGGUGCAUCAACUUGAUCAAUAUGGGCGGUGUGUAUGUACGGCCGAUAUGACAAUUGACAAAUGAAUAAUAAUAUAAUUUUUUUUAAAAAAAAUAACGAUUGGAUAUGAACGCCAUCACUAGGCUUAUUAAUUUAGUUCGCUGUUCGUGAGCUAGUUAGCUCGAUCAUUCUCGAUUUAAAAUUGGUUCGAACUCAGCUCGUUCUUUUAAUAAACCACUCGAUCGCAAGCUCAUUUUUCCAACGCGAAAAAUAAAUGAGCCGAAUAUGAGCUCAUCCUAGCUAACAAGUGUUUGGAGCGAUAUAUAUAGCUCGAGAAAAAAAAUAAAAAUAAUAAUAUGUAUAAAUAUUGUUUUUAGAUUAAUAUAUAUAUUUUUAAAUUUUAAUGAUAGUUGAUAAUACUAAAAGCAAAAACAAGCGCCAACAAAUAAUAAAAUAAUAAUAAUACUAAUUAUAAUUAGUACUAAUAUUUAAUUUAAUUUAAUUUAAUUUAAGCUGGCUCGGGUUACUUUUGAUUCGAUUUCAAGCUGGUCUCAGCUCACUUGUGUUUGUCUCGUUGACGGCCCUACGGAUAACGCAAGUGAGAUGGUCUUAUCCCUCAUCUAUCAACUAUAGUGUUCGAAUUUUAAAGCGGCGUGGAUAAUGAAUUAUGUUGUCGGGUGUUGAAAGGGCACUACACUAUAAUUACUUCAAUGGACUCUCUCUCUCCCUCUCUCAAGAAAAAAAAAAAAAAAAAAAAAAAAACCUAGCUUAAUGCGAUAUAUUUUCUGGUGUGAGACUAUUAUGCUUUUGAAGUAUCUAGAAAAUAAAUUUUAUGAUUUUUCGAUAUCAUUUGCCUAGUGAUCGACGGGGCUCAAAAUUAAUAAUUUUAAUAGCCGUAGUGAGCCGUUUGCAAGUUUAACGGUGUAGAAAUAUACCGACCGUCUCUAGAGCAAGUGGUAAAGGGCUUGAUGGUUGGUACCCAAGAUCCAAGUUCGAAUUCUAGUUGAUUCAUAUUUCUAACUAAGUUUAUUUCUAAAUGAAAUAAACGAAGCGGGUAGCGUACUACCUAUCUCUCAAAAAAAAAAUGGUGUAGAAAUAUUCAAAUCACGUGAAAUUUUGGUAGAAAAUUCUUUAUACUAUAUAAAACAAGAUUAAUAUCUUUGAUCUAAAAUUUUAAUGUCAUAUUAUCACAUUUUGUAUGAUUUUUAGUUUCAGCCGUUGAUUUUGAGCCCCUUCGUUCACUAGGCAAAUAAUAUCGAAAAAUUGCAUAAUUUAUUUUCUAGGUAAUUCAAAUACUCUAGAUCAAGCUUAACGGAGCCGAUCGACGGUUCGAAAAUUCGCAACAUAGAAAACGACAUGGAAGCACGGAAGGUUCCGUGCUUCCAGAAGCAUAGUAGGCUUACUCACAUAUUGAAAAAUAUAAAUAUAAAAGAAUAUAAAAUUUGAAUUAUAUACUUAAUUAUACCUUAUGCAUUGAAUAAUUUCUUCUUUUAUAUGUGGAUUAAUUUUUGGAAUUACUUGAUAUAUAUCAAUAUUAUAGGUUUCUUUAGGGGUUGUAAUAUUUUUAUAUCUUAGACUCUUUGAAAUUAAAUUACCUUUUCAUCUAUCAAAUUAAAUUUUAUUCUAAAAAUAUAUUGCAUUACCUUUUCAAGAUAUUAAUCAUUAAAUAUUUAGGGGUAAGGCUAGCUACAAUUAAUACUUCUAGAAGUAAACAGGAUGUGUUUCUGCGAUAAAUUAUCCAAAUUGAUGCUCGAUCGAUCUACGAUAUUUAAACUUUUUUGGGUUUUAAAUUUCGCAAUUUUAUAAUGUCCUUGCCUAGUAUUUCGAGCGAUCUCAAAAUUAAUAAUUUUAAAUGACUAAUAUAAAGUUAACUUGAGAUCAUCUGAUUACUGUAGGCUGUCUAUUAUUGUCGAAAAUAGGUUCAACUUUUUGCCACGUGAUAAUAGGCCUAAAACAUCAAUAGGUUGAGUUAGAUAAGUCUCCUGAGUUGAGUGUAGUUACCGUCAAUUGUGAACCCUAUCUAUUAAUCAAUACGUGCUUUUGGAAUAGCUAGUUUGCGUCUCAAUCCACAAAUAAUAUAACGGUACAGAUGGCGGGAGAAAAGGGGGAUGUUGUUGGAUUGUUGACUAUCUAUUAGGUUCAGUUUCCUGUCCCAUGAUAAUAGGCCUAGGAGACUGAUAAAUCUAAUUAAUUGGGUAAGCCCUAAUAAGUUGAAUAUGACUGCAAUUCAUAAUAGAGCUAAUGUCCAGAUUGAGUUGAGCCUGUAAGCGUUAUGGUUGUCCUUAUGUGCGAUGAGCGCGUUUCUUCCAAUCAGCUCGAAAACUACGAUCGGUACGUUUUCUUCCUAUCAGCUCCAAAACUUCAAAUGGCUUGAACAUAAACUCCUCCAUUUAUUUAUUUAUUUAUUUAUUUAUUCCCUAAGAUAGCGUUUGGUUCGGGAACAAGGGGGAAAAUAAGCCCUUGUUCCCCCCUUUGUUCCCAAACGCAGCGUUUGGUAACCGAGAACAGUAGUUUCUGGGUUUCUGAAAUUAGCUGGUAUAAGACUGGAACUAGCUGGAACUGCUGUUCCACCUUUUUCCUGGAACAAGCUUGUUCCCGAAUGAGAACAAGGUUAAUUAAAUAUAAAUUUAAAUUUUAAUGAUAGUAAAUUAUUAAUUAAUCUAAUUAAUAUAUUUGAAUUAUUAUCUAUUGCUNNNNNNNNNNNNNNNNNNNNNNNNNNNNNNNNNNNNNNNNNNNNNNNNNNNNNNNNNNNNNNNNNNNNNNNNNNNNNNNNNNNNNNNNNNNNNNNNNNNNNNNNNNNNNNNNNNNNNNNNNNNNNNNNNNNNNNNNNNNNNNNNNNNNNNNNNNNNNNNNNNNNNNNNNNNNNNNNNNNNNNNNNNNNNNNNNNNNNNNNNNNNNNNNNNNNNNNNNNNNNNNNNNNNNNNNNNNNNNNNNNNNNNNNNNNNNNNNNNNNNNNNNNNNNNNNNNNNNNNNNNNNNNNNNNNNNNNNNNNNNNNNNNNNNNNNNNNNNNNNNNNNNNNNNNNNNNNNNNNNNNNNNNNNNNNNNNNNNNNNNNNNNNNNNNNNNNNNNNNNNNNNNNNNNNNNNNNNNNNNNNNNNNNNNNNNNNNNNNNNNNNNNNNNNNNNNNNNNNNNNNNNNNNNNNNNNNNNNNNNNNNNNNNNNNNNNNNNNNNNNNNNNNNNNNNNNNNNNNNNNNNNNNNNNNNNNNNNNNNNNNNNNNNNNNNNNNNNNNNNNNNNNNNNNNNNNNNNNNNNNNNNNNNNNNNNNNNNNNNNNNNNNNNNNNNNNNNNNNNNNNNNNNNNNNNNNNNNNNNNNNNNNNNNNNNNNNNNNNNNNNNNNNNNNNNNNNNNNNNNNNNNNNNNNNNNNNNNNNNNNNNNNNNNNNNNNNNNNNNNNNNNNNNNNNNNNNNNNNNNNNNNNNNNNNNNNNNNNNNNNNNNNNNNNNNNNNNNNNNNNNNNNNNNNNNNNNNNNNNNNNNNNNNNNNNNNNNNNNNNNNNNNNNNNNNNNNNNNNNNNNNNNNNNNNNNNNNNNNNNNNNNNNNNNNNNNNNNNNNNNNNNNNNNNNNNNNNNNNNNNNNNNNNNNNNNNNNNNNNNNNNNNNNNNNNNNNNNNNNNNNNNNNNNNNNNNNNNNNNNNNNNNNNNNNNNNNNNNNNNNNNNNNNNNNNNNNNNNNNNNNNNNNNNNNNNNNNNNNNNNNNNNNNNNNNNNNNNNNNNNNNNNNNNNNNNNNNNNNNNNNNNNNNNNNNNNNNNNNNNNNNNNNNNNNNNNNNNNNNNNNNNNNNNNNNNNNNNNNNNNNNNNNNNNNNNNNNNNNNNNNNNNNNNNNNNNNNNNNNNNNNNNNNNNNNNNNNNNNNNNNNNNNNNNNNNNNNNNNNNNNNNNNNNNNNNNNNNNNNNNNNNNNNNNNNNNNNNNNNNNNNNNNNNNNNNNNNNNNNNNNNNNNNNNNNNNNNNNNNNNNNNNNNNNNNNNNNNNNNNNNNNNNNNNNNNNNNNNNNNNNNNNNNNNNNNNNNNNNNNNNNNNNNNNNNNNNNNNNNNNNNNNNNNNNNNNNNNNNNNNNNNNNNNNNNNNNNNNNNNNNNNNNNNNNNNNNNNNNNNNNNNNNNNNNNNNNNNNNNNNNNNNNNNNNNNNNNNNNNNNNNNNNNNNNNNNNNNNNNNNNNNNNNNNNNNNNNNNNNNNNNNNNNNNNNNNNNNNNNNNNNNNNNNNNNNNNNNNNNNNNNNNNNNNNNNNNNNNNNNNNNNNNNNNNNNNNNNNNNNNNNNNNNNNNNNNNNNNNNNNNNNNNNNNNNNNNNNNNNNNNNNNNNNNNNNNNNNNNNNNNNNNNNNNNNNNNNNNNNNNNNNNNNNNNNNNNNNNNNNNNNNNNNNNNNNNNNNNNNNNNNNNNNNNNNNNNNNNNNNNNNNNNNNNNNNNNNNNNNNNNNNNNNNNNNNNNNNNNNNNNNNNNNNNNNNNNNNNNNNNNNNNNNNNNNNNNNNNNNNNNNNNNNNNNNNNNNNNNNNNNNNNNNNNNNNNNNNNNNNNNNNNNNNNNNNNNNNNNNNNNNNNNNNNNNNNNNNNNNNNNNNNNNNNNNNNNNNNNNNNNNNNNNNNNNNNNNNNNNNNNNNNNNNNNNNNNNNNNNNNNNNNNNNNNNNNNNNNNNNNNNNNNNNNNNNNNNNNNNNNNNNNNNNNNNNNNNNNNNNNNNNNNNNNNNNNNNNNNNNNNNNNNNNNNNNNNNNNNNNNNNNNNNNNNNNNNNNNNNNNNNNNNNNNNNNNNNNNNNNNNNNNNNNNNNNNNNNNNNNNNNNNNNNNNNNNNNNNNNNNNNNNNNNNNNNNNNNNNNNNNNNNNNNNNNNNNNNNNNNNNNNNNNNNNNNNNNNNNNNNNNNNNNNNNNNNNNNNNNNNNNNNNNNNNNNNNNNNNNNNNNNNNNNNNNNNNNNNNNNNNNNNNNNNNNNNNNNNNNNNNNNNNNNNNNNNNNNNNNNNNNNNNNNNNNNNNNNNNNNNNNNNNNNNNNNNNNNNNNNNNNNNNNNNNNNNNNNNNNNNNNNNNNNNNNNNNNNNNNNNNNNNNNNNNNNNNNNNNNNNNNNNNNNNNNNNNNNNNNNNNNNNNNNNNNNNNNNNNNNNNNNNNNNNNNNNNNNNNNNNNNNNNNNNNNNNNNNNNNNNNNNNNNNNNNNNNNNNNNNNNNNNNNNNNNNNNNAUAUAUAUAUAUAUAUAUAUAUAUAUAUAUAUAUAUAUAUAUAUAUAUAUGUGCUAGGAUAUGUGCUAGGAAAUACGAAAAAUAUAUACAUAUAUAUAUAAUAGUCUCGUAUCAGAUACAAACAGGCUAAAAUAAUUAAUAGUCGAUCUCUAAAUUGUAUAUACUUGAGGUUAUUAUCUUUCACUUUUAAAUUUAACUUUUGGAUUCGUUCGGAGUCUUUAAUGCCAGCAAAUUAACAUCACUUUGCAUCAGUAUAAGUAGUUUGUUUCACUGUAAUCUUUUUAUCUAUCACGUCUCAUGCUGUAGUUCGUAUCGAUCAGUGACCUGACUGACAUGGUGCUGUACACGAAUUAUGUGAUGCAUCAGCUGAAAACAACAAAUGUUUCACCCCUCAAAUUGAGAUGCUAAAUGUAGUGAUGGACAUAUAUAUAUAUAUAUAUAUAUAUAUAUAUAUAUAUAUAUAUAUAUAUAUAUUAAANNNNNNNNNNNNNNNNNNNNNNNNNNNNNNNNNNNNNNNNNNNNNNNNNNNNNNNNNNNNNNNNNNNNNNNNNNNNNNNNNNNNNNNNNNNNNNNNNNNNNNNNNNNNNNNNNNNNNNNNNNNNNNNNNNNNNNNNNNNNNNNNNNNNNNNNNNNNNNNNNNNNNNNNNNNNNNNNNNNNNNNNNNNNNNNNNNNNNNNNNNNNNNNNNNNNNNNNNNNNNNNNNNNNNNNNNNNNNNNNNNNNNNNNNNNNNNNNNNNNNNNNNNNNNNNNNNNNNNNNNNNNNNNNNNNNNNNNNNNNNNNNNNNNNNNNNNNNNNNNNNNNNNNNNNNNNNNNNNNNNNNNNNNNNNNNNNNNNNNNNNNNNNNNNNNNNNNNNNNNNNNNNNNNNNNNNNNNNNNNNNNNNNNNNNNNNNNNNNNNNNNNNNNNNNNNNNNNNNNNNNNNNNNNNNNNNNNNNNNNNNNNNNNNNNNNNNNNNNNNNNNNNNNNNNNNNNNNNNNNNNNNNNNNNNNNNNNNNNNNNNNNNNNNNNNNNNNNNNNNNNNNNNNNNNNNNNNNNNNNNNNNNNNNNNNNNNNNNNNNNNNNNNNNNNNNNNNNNNNNNNNNNNNNNNNNNNNNNNNNNNNNNNNNNNNNNNNNNNNNNNNNNNNNNNNNNNNNNNNNNNNNNNNNNNNNNNNNNNNNNNNNNNNNNNNNNNNNNNNNNNNNNNNNNNNNNNNNNNNNNNNNNNNNNNNNNNNNNNNNNNNNNNNNNNNNNNNNNNNNNNNNNNNNNNNNNNNNNNNNNNNNNNNNNNNNNNNNNNNNNNNNNNNNNNNNNNNNNNNNUUUUGGGCUUUUUGCCCUCCGGAAGCCCUAGCUGCUUCCACCGCCUAGUUCACUUUCACUUAAUGAAUGAAGCGGGUAGCUUGCUAUCUUUUCUCAAAAAAAAAAAAAAAUGAAGGCAACCUAAUUAGCUUUUGGCCUACAUGAUUUGACCAUUAAUGGCACUGUUUGAUCUUACUUUCUUCGAUGCAAUAUGUUUCUCUAACACAAGUGCUGCCCAUUUGAUAUGUACAGUGGCCUUUAUUGGUGCAAUGUAUCCUAUUGCUGCAAAAAUACAAAAUAUAUGAUGAUUGCGAAUUGGAGUUUUCGCAUUGUGACAUGGUUUGGUGUCUCAAUGCAUAACUGAGCCAAAUAAGUCCUAAAUGUUCAGAGAGCAAAAUAACUCCUAUUCUUGCUUGAGCAUUAUAUAUCAUCUCUAAUACUAUAUAUGUAAUUUUCAUCUACAAAAACAUCAAUAAGAUAUAUAGUCUUACUUAUAGUUUUGUAUUAUAUAUUGGUUUCUAUGCUCAAAGUAUUUUUAGACCACAAAUUAUCAAUUAAAAUCCAUGUUUAAACAUUGAAUUUUAUUGUGGUAUUGUCAACAUAUGUUUGAUUACACUAAUAAUUCAUUUGACUUUCCAGGACAUAAUUUAAUUUGUAAGAGUCGUUUCAAGCUCGAUGGAAUGUUACAACUACCAUUUUUAGUGAUUAGCAAUAUCUUCACAUUAAUUAAUAACUAUAUAACAAUGAGAAUGUACAUAUGUUAUAUUCUUUUGGUUUUCUAUUGGACCUGGUCAUUUUGGUGUACAACUACGUGCAUAUAUAAUUGGUCAAAUAGAUCGGUUGAGAUUCCCUACAAAUAUCUACAAUUUGUUAGGACAAUCUUGUUGAAUAAUUUGGGGUGUAAAUUCCUAUAAUAAGGAACUUAAUUUGCUUUCCCCAUUCAUUACUUAACUACUUGUUGCUAAUAGUAAUUGGCACAGCUAUAUAUGUUUAGAAUAGGAAGAUAGCUAGCACGCUAUCCGCUUCGUUUCAUUUCAUUUAGAAAUAAAUUUAGCUGAAAAUGUGAAUCAACUAGGAUUCGAACUUGGGACCUCGGGUACCAACCAACAAGUUCUUUGCCACCUGCUCUAGAGGUGGUCGGUGGAAUUUUCGAUUUUCAUUCUAUUUUGGCCUUGAUCCAAGGGGAUUAUUGUCUUUCCUUGACCUUUAUUUCCCCAAUUCCUUAUUCGAUCUAUAACAUAUAGAAUAAAGACCCCUUUAUUAUCCAUCUUUUAUCUCCUUGUGAUGUCCUCUAUAACAUUAACCAACACGUUAUCUUAGAAUAACAUACCUGUCAACAAAUUAAUGAGUAAGGUUCUGGUCAAAGUAAUUAGUUGAUCCAAUCCAACCAGUUAAAUUGGAUCUUAGUAUCAUUAUAUACACGAAUGAAAACUUAGCCAAUUCAUUAAUUAUAAGCCCCAUCCACUGAUCCACCCCCACAGCUUUAAAUUCAACCUAGCUAGGAUUUGCUUAUAACUUUGAACGAAUGUCUACUAAAUUUUUUUAAAAAAACUAAGAUAUACGCACACAUGUUAAUGUUAUAGGAAUACAUACUUAGCCAAUCCAUGCAUGCAUGCCCUAUAUAUGCAUCCACAACGUUUCAAGCUACUAAAGAUUUGGUUUUUGAUAUUCUCUUAAUUCUUUUAAUUCUUAAUUUUUGUAUAUUGACAUUCUUUUAAUUUGAGUUAAAUAUAUGGAGAUCCCCGGCCUCAACUAUAGUGUAAAUUGAAAAGACCUCUCAUUUUGUUUAUUGACGUACAUUCUUUUAAUUCGUAAUUUUUCUCCAAUUAAAUGUCUUUAAUCAAUUAAAUAUCAAAUGGAUCAUCGGCUUAUAUGUCCUAUAGUGACUAAAUUUAUCAAAACUUUAAUCUCACUAGUUAAAGCAACUCAAAUAAAAUGAAAAAAAUUAAGAACUCGAGUGAGCUAACCGUAAAAGAAAUUUCGUUGAGAGGCAUAUUGCAAUAUUAUAUAGUACAUUCAGUUUGAGGGUCUCAUUAGAUCUACAGUAUAUCUCUUAGAUCGAUCUAUGUAUACAUGCAUGUUGAGGUUGUGGAAGAAUUAUUAAUGAUCGUAUGAUCUCUAACUGAUAAAUUAAUGCUCAUCACACGCCAUAUACGACAACCAAAUAAUUAAUUUGAGUUAAUUAGUAAUUAAUUAUAUCACAAUUUGUGACAAGCGCCAGCUCCAAAGCACCAAGCUCCCACACUUUCCUUUUAAAAAUUAGGAGCUGAGGCUAAUUAUUAAUGAACAUUAAGCAAAACCGCAGCCCCAGUUGAUACUGCUAUUGGUCAACCUAUGUCACAUGAUUCUCAUUUACACUUGCUAACAUGCUCAAUUUAAUUAUAUCAUCCUCUGAUAUGUGGCCUCUUCCUAAGUACUCAGCACCAGCUUCUGAAAUAAUCAAUAUAUAUACCUACCCUAAAAAAAGUAUUCCAUGUAUUAUAUGAGAUGGAGUGUGCUAGCUAGUGGAUAUACAUAUGACAGAUGUAUUUAUUCUUAUUAUUUAUUUGCAAUCUUAUAGUUUGUUCAUUUAUUAAAGACCAAGACUUUCACAGUUGUCUUUGCACUCUCUCUUUUUUUUUUUAAUACUAAAAUCUAAAAAAGAAAGAGUUUAAAAAUUCAUAAGAUUUCAACUCUCGGAUGAGAAUUAUACCUACAAUCCUUUUUGGAUCGUAGACUUAGCAUUGCUCAAAAUUCUAAUACACAUUCUAAAAAUUCUACAACCAAUAUUUCCAUAAAAGUCUAGCAAGGCCAAUCAUGGGGUCCCUCGUAAUCAAAAUCUGCAUGCUUAAUUUUAGUGUCCAUUAAUUCUACAUUGAACUGUAGCGCCAAUAUAUUUGAGUGUUUGAAAAAUAAACUGAUUUAGAGUCUCAACUCUCGGCUGUAGGUAAGAACAAAAUUUAAAAUUCAAAUAAUAAUAUUAUUAAUUUAUAACUUCCUGAAUAUACUGAAAAACAAAGUACAGAUGAAAUUUUGAUAUAAACUUUUUUUUUUCUUUUCCUAAUAGCUAAAACAUUAAAGCAUUACAGUAACCUAGAAGAAGAGGCUCUUGGGACUAAAUAAACACGGGAAAAAAAGUCAAAAUAAUAAUUAAUUUUUAAAAAAACCCCAAAGAACCGGUAGGUAGAUAGGUUGUGAAGUAAAAGUCAACUUGUGAGCUGGUGCUACCCAUGUUUACAUAAGUUUGCCUCAGAAACUGCACGCCCACGUUCUAGUUUUGCUUUAAUAUCUUUGUUUUCUUCAUCCAAUGUUACACAAAUUAUUAUAUAAUAUACGAGAAUCGGACGUACAAGCCUUAUCUUUCUCUUUAGUUUACUUGGGCCACGUUCUCUAUCUUCCUGUUUAGUUUACUUGGGCCAGUUCCUAGAUCUCCUUGCCAUCUAUAAAUACCACCCACUACUGCUGCAACUCUCCUCAUCACUACACCACCUUCUCGAUCUAAAGCUUAUUGAGUUUAGAAAUUAAUUAAAAGCUAGCGCAUAUACACAGAGAUGAGGAGGAGGAGCUCUAAUAUUGUUGCAUUCUCAUGCAUGCUCUUCAUCUUGGCCUUGCAAGCCAUCCUCCCUAUCUCCUCUGCUUCCCUUCAAUACGGUUUCUAUGAUUACGACUACAAAUGCAAGAGAACUAAUGUCGAGCUCCUUGUGAGGGGCGUCGUCGCGAAGGCGAUCCGGAAGGACCCCGGCGUCGGCGCGGGCCUCAUCAGGAUGUACUUCCACGACUGCUUCGUUAGGGUAAGACCUGCAUGCAUGCUCUCUCUUCUUUUCUUCUUCUUUAUUACAAGCAUAUAUGUAGAGGCUAGCUAACUAGGACUCAAAGUCAAAUUAUAAACCAUUAAACUUUUCUUUUUCUUUUUAUUUUGAACUUUUCCUUUUUGAGAAGAAUUAAACUAUUAGACAUAUAAUCUAUAUAUAAUGGCAGCAUUUGUGUGCCAGGUACAAUAUAUUUACAAUAUAUCCAUUAGUGUUUCGUUCUUUUUGAGAAGAAUUAAACUAUUAGACAUAUAAUCUAUAUAUAAUGGCAGCAUUUGUGUGCCAGGUACAAUAUAUUUACAAUAUAUCCAAUAGUUUUUCGUUCUAUACAUUGCUAAAUCCCACCAAACUAGCUAGUCAUCAAAAUUUUCUCUUUCGAAAGAGCAUAUUUUGUUUCUAAUUUUUUAAAGUGAACUUAAUUAUCGAAUGAGCAUUCUCGAAAACUUUUAAAUAGCUACAUGGACGUACGAAUGCAACGAACGCAUGCAAUAAUUUCUCUAAAGAAAUUAAAAGGUUCAAAAAAAAGAGAGAAAAAGAAAAAUUCUCCCGCCCAAUAUUCUUCAAUCCGGACACAAUACUUAUACUUCAUCACCGGGUAUAUAUAUAUAUAUAUAUAUAUAUAUAUCCCGCGAUCGACAUACACAUGCAGGGCUGCGACGCCUCCGUCCUCCUCGACCCGACCACUGCCAACCCGACGCCCGAGAAGACAUCCGGGGCCAACUUCCCGAGCCUGCGCGGCUUCGAGGUGAUCGACCAGNAUAUAUAUAUAUAUAUAUAUAUAUUAACUGUAGGAUUUCUCAAUUGAAAAUAAAAGCCUUCUUUUAUCGACCGUCCCAAGAGCAAGUGGCAAAGGGUUUGGUGGUUGGUACUCGAAACCCAAGUUCGAAUCUUAGUUGAUUCACAUUUCCAGCUAAAUUUAUUUUUAAAUGAAAUAAACGAAGCGGGUAGCGUGCUACCUAUCUCUCAAAAAGAAAAUAAAAGCCUUCUUUUGAUCUAGACAUUUUUUUUCCUUUUUUUUUUAAACUUCAACAAAUUGUUAACAAGUUUGAAUUAUUUUAAAACAUCCUCAUAUAUAAGCAUUGGUUAAAACAUUCAGAUAUGUUCUAGUCUUAUUCGAAAUAUAUACGACCAAUUUUGUACCAAAUUUACGAUGUGCGCCAAAUACUAUCAUAUAUAUAGAUAUAUAUAGAAAGAGAGAGAUAGUCCGGCUAUACUAUACUACCAAUGAUUCCAGACGUUUGGUGCUAUUGAGUUUUCAGCUGUUAAGUCUAAGAUUUUGAUCUUUUCCAUCCGUUAGAUUAUAUUAUUCGACUAACUACCCACUCAACCCUGAAUACCACUAUCAUCCUAACUACACAUCCUUUCAUCCAAGAGCCGAAAAUCUAAUAACUCUAAGCGCUUGGUACUAUUAAUUGUAUAAUAACAUAAUCCAAUAUAUAUAUAUAUAUAGGAUUCCAGGCCGAUAUGAUGUUUUUGAAAGCGAGGUCUGAGGAAUACAAUGGAACUGAUUGUGACAUGCAUCCUUUUAUUAUCUACUAAUGACAAGAUACUGUUACUAUGUUGCAAUUAGAACAUCACAUGAAUGUGGGGCACAAAAAUGGAAAUUUUGCGAUUAUUUGCGAAUCCAUGUUACAGCUAAAUGAACAUGUCCAAACCCCUAAUUUGAUCUGUGAUUUAACAGUAGUGCGCGCGCAUGAUUCUGUAAGUAGUUUGCAUAUCAAAAAUAUGAAAACCAAGUUAAAUUAUGAUAGAACAAGAGACAAAAUUUCAGGUUCAUAGUACUGUACGCGAUUUAGCUAAGUUGUUUUUUUUACAACAUAAGUUUCAAAGGAAAACUAUUUAACAAUCUAAGUGCAGUGUAUUAAUUGGCACAAUGUUUUUGAAAAGCCCAGAAACAUUUACAUAUAUAACAAUUAGGAUGAGAGAGAGAGAGAGAGAGAAUAGAAGAUGAUUCUUCCCAAAGGACAUUUUUGUUACACCACAAGAUUACUCUACUGCAAACUCCAGGGCCCUCUAUGUAGAGAUAGUAGUGUUAAUUAAUGUAUGUAAUAUUUUGAUGCAGGCCUAAAAGCCGCGUGAUAAGAUGAAGAAACAUAAGGACGGAAAGAGAGAGAUACAUGAAAAAUUCAAUUCUUCGACAAGAGGAAAAAUAUUAUCAACCAACUCUAAACAACUUAUUACACUAACCAUGCACCAUGUAUAUAUAGGAUCGAUAUCUGAAAUCUACUAUUAUUGAAGAUACCAAUUGGAAAUAACUAAGUAAUCAGACUCAAAAUAGAAAGAAUACAAAACUUUCCAAUAGUCUAAUCUAAAAAUGCAAAAAAUGAGACUUAAACAGUUGAAUUUAAGUCUCAAACUUGGCCGGAACGGACACUCAAGGAAAAAGUAAAGUUUUUUGCGAGCCACAAUUGUUAAAAUUGCUGAUCUCAACGAGAUUUUCGGCCUAGCUUGGACCAUGCCAUAUUGAAUGUCAAUCUAGAUGGAACUGAGCCAAAGUAGCUAAAAUAUUCUGGCUAAAUAUGGAUCCCUAUAACCCUUGAAACAAAAAUAUUAAACUUUCUAUAAUAAUCAAAAUUAGGAGUUCGAAGUCAAAAUGACAGUAACUUGGCCCAGAUUAUGUCUUGGCAAAGGGAAAAUGGAUUAAGAACAUGGAGAUUAAAGGUAUAUAUGGUUAUCGCAAAGCAAAAUCUCUAAAAGUCACUACGACAAAUCUAUUAUCUUUUACUAUAUACUAGUCGCCGUGGAGUUGUGGUCCACCGCCCACACACGUCGUAUCAACUGGUGAGAAAAUAUACAUUUUAUCAAUUAAUCAAAUAUGGUGCAUAGAUGUACGAAUACAACGGAUGUAGUAUUACUUUUAAUAGGAUACUAGCUCUAUACUAUAUUAUUUAUGGGACUAAGAAACAUAUCUAACACAUAAAGUUGAGUGCUUAAUUUGCUUAAUUGGAUAACAAAGAAGCUAAAAGCCUAGGCAAUAAUUAAUAUGUUAUUAUAAACCAAGAAGGAAAAAAUAAUCCAAAUAAUUAAAUCCAAUGAACAAACUUUGCUUUUGCGUGACAAAAUGCUUCAAAAUAAAUUUCCUUAUUUUUGGCAUACGAAAAGAUGUCGUGUCGAUGUACCCUGUACUCCUAUGAGGAUUAUUGUAUGCUAUUGUAGGAACAUAAUGGAGCCCAUCCACGUGUAACCAUGUGGCCAAGAUCCACCAAAUUAAUUAAUUAAUUAAUAAUUAAUUAGCACUAGUAUAGGGACCCGCGCGAUGCAGCGGGUAGAUAAUAGAAACAAAAUUUUAAUAAAAUUUAUAUUCACAACUUAUUGAUGUAUAAGAAGCUAUACCCAUGUUAAAUAUAAUCAAUUUGUUUGAUUAAAUUCAACUAUGAAAAAAAUAAAUUAUAGUUAGAAGUUUAUAUAUAUAUUUUAAAAUCAUCGAAAUACAGUAAGAGACAUAUAAUUUUAUCGUAUUAUGUGCACCGUAAACAUUCCGUUGUGAAAAAUAAAAAAGAGCUAAAUCAACCUAGUAGGCACUUAUAUGAGCCGCGGCUCGAUUUUGCGGAACGAUGCUUCUCGAAGGAGACAACGUUCUUCGCAUGCUCUUCUUCUUCUUCUUCAUCGUCCUCAUCAUCUUCGUUAACACAAUAAGAGAGAGAGAGCUAGAUGAGUAUUGGGUGGAAAAUUAGAUGAUGAUAUUUUUUUUGCAUGAAAAAUAAGAGGCCAUGCAAAAGAGAGGGGGGUGGGGGAUUAAUGGAGGUGGGGGUGGAUUGGUGUUGUAAAGCCCAUUUAUUUGUAGAAUAUAGUGUCUAUAAUUAAAUGUUGCAUUUUCGAUUAAUUAAUUUUCAUGAUUUCAAAGGAUUGGGAGGUAAAGGGUAUGGCGUUGAAAAGAGAUUUGAAGGAGAAGAAAUGACUAAUAUUGAAGAGAAAAAUGAGUAACAUAUAAGUUAAAGAGCACAUUAAUUACUUGUCAUUGAAUAGAGAGGAGGGGAGGGGAAAAGUCAAGAACAAAUGUGAGUUCAAAAAAAGGGUUAGUAAGGUUGAAAGAAAACUUGUCAUGUGACAAAAAACAUUGGGAAUUCAUUUAGGUUAAUAGAUGUUUGAUUAAUUAGCUCUUCACAAUACAAAUAUAAUAUGUGCCUAAUCAAUCCUACAUUUUGCUGAUAUUACAUUUAUGGAUCGAUUAAUUGCGUGUAUUUUCAUGUGGUCCUCAAUUCAUGCACUAAUAUAUACCAUAUUUAUACUUGCUUUAAGCAAGAUUAACAAUUGUUGAUCCUAGUAGUUAUAUAGACACGAAUCAAAUAUAUAUAUAUAUAUAUGGUACGGCUACUAUACUAUUAUGAGUACGAUUGCCAUCGUACUCAUAAGUUGUUUUCGAUGAUAGAGCUUCCGAAUCGACGAUCCAUACCGUUAAACGUUAUUUACAGCAUUUAAAACUUCUAGAAAUCAAAUUUUAUAAUUUUUCGACAUCAUUUACCUUACGAUCAAGAGGUCACAAAUUUGACAAUUUUUAACAGCCGGUAUGAGAUACUUGCUAGUUUAACGAUGUAAAAGAAUCGAAAUUUGUUGAAUUUUUGAUAGAAAAUUCUAUUCACUACGUAGAUAAAGAUCAAUAACUCCGAUCUUGAAUUGAAAGAUCCAAUCAUCUUUUUUUAGGACGUCGUUCGAUUUUGACCGUUCAUUUUAUGCCCACUUGAUGGCCUUUAUUAUGAUUUCGAAAAUUUACGAAAUUUAUUUUCUAAAAAUUUUAAAUAUUCUAGAUCAUAUUUAACGGAGUAGAUCGUCGAUUCGGAAGCUCCAUCAUUGAAAACAACUUAUGAAUACGAAGGCUCCAAUACUCAUAAUAGUAUAGAAGCCAUGGCCUAUAUAUAUAUAUAGCUUAAUUGAAGAUAAAUGGAAAAAAGAAGAAGUAGAAAUCUUAUGAAUGUAAUCUUAGUAAAACUACAUUUUCCAUCAAAUUAGUGCAACUUUUAAAACCCUUGAACAAAAAGUAGAAGGAAACAUCUAAUACUAUAAACUAAAACUUAAGUAUAUUCAUUUUGAACCCCUAGUAUUCUAGUUUCUUUCAUGCAUGCAUGCAUGAUUAGUCAUGUGGACAAAAGUUAAAUAAAUUAGGAUGAUCCACUUGAACUUAAAUUUGUAGAUAGUUAGUAUAAUUUUUUGCAUUUAUUUUGGGAUAUGGCAUGCAUGUAGAGGUGGGGCUUUAAAACAUGUGCAUGCAUGUGGUGUGUCUCCUCUCACUGAGGCACCUCCUCACUAAUCAAUUAGUAUAGGAUUCACUUAAUUCCCUUCCUAUAUGUAUUCAUUUUGUUUUCCAAUUUGAAUAUAUAUAUAUAUAUAUAUAUACUUCUGUGAGAGACACUACACUUGUAAUGUUAAAUCAUUUGCUAUAGAUUUACCAAUUUGAAGCUAGUUUUGUACCACCGACAUGAGGUUUGAUCUAAAUCACCAAAACUAGUAGAAAUAAAAGUUGUAUUAUUAAAAGAACAUUUUACUUGUGAUUUGCGAAUUGAAUCAGUUACAAGGAUGAAUUAAUGGAGCAUAUGAUGGUAUUUCCAGUUAGAAAAUUUAGCUAGAUCCAUGGUGUUCGAUUCUAUGCUACAAAAACACAAAAUAUUAUUGAGGGUCCAAAUUCAAUUACUCCAAAACCUUAAGCUCUCGAAGAACAGUUGUUCUAAUAUUUUUUUUGUUACCCUAGUGCAAGUGGCAAAGAAUUUGGUGGUUGGUAUAUGAGGUUUCAAGUUCGAAUCCUAAUUGAUUCAUAUUUUCAGUUAAGUUUAUUUCUAAAUGAAAUAAACGAAACGGAUAGCAUUCUAUCUAUCUCUCAAAAAACAUAUUUUUUUGUUAACACUUCUCAUAUUUGGACUCAAGAGUUUUCAAUAGAUUCAAGAUAGAGUGAAAUUAAAUAGAAGCAGAUUAAACAAAGAGCCCGGCGAAAUUUGAGCUAAAAAUGUCCUGUUCUUAUAUUAUGUAAAAUUUUUGCAAUUCAUGUCAUAACCCAUUUUAAUCCAAUUACCUCUUUUUUUAAAAAAAAAUAAAUUGCAAUUUGGCUACUCAACCUUUUUUGAUUCAUUUGGGACUUGAUUAGUGAAUUAGGCGUAAUUUGACGAUGCAUCCAUCCUAAUUUUGAAACAAAAGAGUCACCUGAUGUCUCAAACCAAACAAAUUAAAAAAAAAAUUAAUUUCAUAUAAGUCCCGCAAACAUAGUAAAUUACAAAUAGAUCCCUAUAAAAUUCAAUUUUUAUAUAUUAUCUUUACAAAAAUCCUAAUAUUUUCAAAUAUGUUCCUGUCAUUAGAUCCCUUAGGAAAAAUUAGUUAACCAUAGAUAAAAUAUUUAACCCUAAUUAGUUAAUAAAAUAAAUUGACCUUUUUACACCUAUUCAAUUAACAAUAAAAACUUUUAAUGUUUUCAAAUAUAUCUCUAUCAUUAGAUCUCUUAGUAAAAAUUAGUUAACCAUAGAUAAAAUAUUUAACCCUAAUUAGUUAAUAAAAUAAAUUGACCUUUUUACACCUAUUCAAUUAACAAUAAAAACUUUUGGAGGGACAUAUUUAUGAUAACAAAAAAGUUAUUUCACUUAAAAAAUAAAUAGUACUUUAACGGUAACAAACCAAAAAAAUAUAUUUAAAAAUAUUAGAACUUUUCUAGAAACGACAUAUAAAAGUUGAACUUUGUAAGAAUAUAUUUGCAAUUCACUAUAUUUGCAGCGACCCGUAUGAAAUUAACCCAAUUAAGAAACUAAGUACCAAAAUCAAACUCACAAAGGUUACACAGUUUCACCGAGAACGGACUUCAGCUCAUGUAAGUUCUAUACGCUUCCACAUAUAUAAAAUAAUUCUCAUCAAACAUCAGAAACUGCUAAAAUCCGCUUAUCUUGCAGAUCAGCACCCAGUUCGCAAAUGUAUCUCUAGAUCUAGAGAAAUUGUCGCCUGCACCCGUCAUGCGGCACCAACUCAUGCACAACCCCCGAUUAGCCCCACUUCAUUGAAUCUCAUACUUUCCCACACAAAAUAAUAUACACGUCGAGAAAAGACCAUGACUUACUUGGCAUGGGGGAUCGCAGCAUAAGACGAAACGGAGGGUGUAUCAGGGCGAUGCAGGGGCUGAGGCGGGGUGAACCUGGUGCAGGCAAUAAUUUCUCGUAGAUCAAGUGUUAACGUUGAUACCAGAUGCAGAAAGCUUCAAAGUUUCGGUAAACAGAUACGAAGGAUGCACCGGAAAUUAAACUUGUUCACAAAGGUUAGGGUUUGAGAAAACACACAUUGACGCCAACUCUGAUUUUGUUCAAAAUCUUAUUGCUGCACAAAGCAUUACAACUUAAACAACUGCAGAGUAUCAGAUCCAAGAACUCCGUAAACGAAACAUAGGUUCGAGAAAACAGAUUGAUUCAAGAGCAGAGAGAAUCUGCACAAUUAGAGUGGCCCCGGAAAGGUUCCACUCUCCCUCUGCUCAUUCCACUUCUCAACCUGGGUCAUUAAAAGAAAGAAAAGCUAGUUAUUAUAUAGAGAAAAACAGAAAGCAACUACAGAGUAAAGUGGAGAGAAUUGAGGCGGCGAGCAUCGACAUGCACAAUGCUGAAAGCAAAAGAAGAAAUUAUAUUUUAAUGUUGCCGACUUAAAUCCUACAAGACAGAAUUCAAUUUAAAUGAAAUCAAAUUGAAUGUCCAAGAUAGUCUUGAUGAAGGGAAGAAGAUUGGGCCAAGUGCAGAACAUCGAGACCUCACAUGUGUCGUACGAUUGAUAUGACACAAGUUUGACACACUUUGCUGACUUUUCUUUCGACAAUAUCAAGAACAUCUGAGAACUACAGAAUUAAUUCUUCAUCAGAUUAGACCAAAAUUCCCUUCCCACAUCAUUAUGUCUGGUAUUUAAGAAGGAAGGUUUAAAAUCAUGGACAAAUCUUACUAGGACAAGUAACACUUUUGUGAUUGCACCAUGAAAAUUGAAAAUUAUUCGCUGAUAUGAAUCAUGGAGAUGCAAAACAGCAACCACUUCUCGUUAUCAUCUUUGAAAUAUGGCAGGAGCCGCGAGACUGAAUUUAAAAGAACAGCGACAGUGCAUAUAAGUUACUAUAACAUACUAUGGCCAUAUUAAUACAUAGCAAAAUAUAACACAAGGUCACAUUGCUACAAAAACAGUAUGAUUUAGACACAAUAAACACAAUAAAGCAGUGGAAAGGGCUGAAUAAUUUAUCACUAAGCACAAGAUAAUUGCCGCCGCUCCAAGUGAGUUCUCAUCUCCUCGGCAAAUUUUUUAGGUUCACUGCUAUCCGUUACAUAAAAAAAUAUAUGUAUAAAUUACUUCACAAACAUAGUUUCUCUCUUUAAGCUCCUAUUAUACAUGUAACAAGAGUUUGGGAUGGGGUUUACGUGUACGCGAGCGUGGAGGGUGUUUGUGUGUGCGGGUGCUGCGCGGUGUGUGUUAUGUGAGGCCAGAGCCCAUUAAAUUUCAUGUUACAGAACAAAGGGGGUUUAGGACUAACCAUGUCCAAUAACAUCUGAAAUGACUGUAUUAUCAACAAGUUUGUCAUUGGAGAAUGGUAUUUUGCAUAUUUUAUAGUCAACAAGUAUGGAUUCACAGCAUUAUAUGAGCCAAGAUGUGAACUUUAUACAAAACUAUUAGAGGUUUCUUUUCAAUUGAAUGAUGGAUGUUUCUAGGCUCGAUCUUUUCAGUUAACAGAAUGAGAGCACCAGGUCUCAAGAUCAAACUCAACCAUGCCCAACAGCCACUGCUCAAAAAGAAAACAUCAACUAAUGUAAUUCGAAGUCGAUGUCUUGGACCUAUUAAAAAAUUUUCAAGCCCAGAUUUAAUGAAUGCCGAUUGUAGGUGUAUAAAACACCUUUUCCCAAUAACUAUGAGCUUUUUAAAGAAAAGGCUGUUUAAUAUUAGCAGCAUAAAGCCUGAUACAACAAGGUCAAUACGAGGCAUGCAACAUGCAUAUCUCCCAAUCUCAGCAGCAUGAUAUAAAUUAUCAUUCAAGACAAUCAAAAGAAUUCAUCGCCAUGCAGAAUUUGCAGUACUUACCACUAUUCUGCAUUACAUUUUUUAUAGUGCAUGUAAUAACUGGAGGAAGAGAAAGCGUUACGAUAUGCCACUUCUGUGAUUGACAUGGUAUAUGCGUUUUAUUUUUAGCUGACUAUAAUUUCGAUUGAACGCUGAUACUACCACAUGCAUCAUAUGCCACUGCCAGUAAAACUAGGAACAGUUUAUCAAAUCAAGUACUAAUUGUUGAUAUUUCGUUACCAGAAUAGGUGUUGAUCUAGCGCGAUGACCAUGACUAGGCACAGGGUUUUGGUCCUUAAUAUUAACAAACUUUCUAAAUAGAAGACAAUUGGAUGACAGAAACUAAAAGUAACAUGCUAAAACCCAGAGGAAGAAAAUGAUCAAACAUUUGUAGGAUCACUAACAUCAAAAGACAAUCCAUUACUAACGAAACCCUGGAAAGAGUGAGUAUGCCAGACAAUAUUGGAUUAUCACUAGCAUGAAACUAGAUGGACGUACAAAUGAAAUAAAGGAACAUAAGAACUCACCCAUUCUCCCGGGCACAAUGAUCGAUAGUAUUUGGCAAAUUUCUCACAAUCACUAGACUCUUCACCUUUAGCAAUCAAACACCUACAUUUGCAGGUCAGGUAGAAGUUUUUAAAAAACAAGGGAAUGGAAAAGGUAUACUGGCAUGGUACGUAUCAGAAGCCAUAUAUAACCAUACCUGUGAUACUCAAUGUAUCGAGUGAAACAGUGCCUGGUUUGAUUUGUUGUAGGAAAGCGAAAGUCAGCUGGUGCAGUUUUCAACUCAAUCUGACAAGCGAGAACAUUAUGAAAUUUAAAGUAACUUAUUAAGUAAAUUGCUCAAAGAAAAGCUCCAAAAGUAAACUAAAUCUUCUAAUAUGAGCUUGCAAAUAUACAAAAUAACUAAAAGACAACACCAAAUAGGCACAACAAUUUAAACAACUUUUUAGCAAAGAUUACGAAUCUAAAAGAACAUAGAUAUCAUAUAAAUGUGCAAAUCACUUAGAUAAACAUUGAAAACUUAUUAGCAAUCUUAAUUAACCUAACAAAUAAGCUUUUUGAAAAGGUACAACAUAUUACUUAUCCAUCAAUUGCUCACCACAAAUAUGAAUUCACAACAGUCUUUUACGCUCUUUAUCUAACAACAAAGCAAGCAAUCAUUGACCUUCAUUCUCUUGUAUUUCUAACUCAUUAUUGAGCUUAUAUGAAUAUAUAUAGAUUGUUUUAAUAACAACUUCAAUCUAUUGAGCAAGAGAUAGAAAAGCAUAAAUAUUACAGGAUUUCUAUUUUAUUUGCCGCAUUUAAGCAUAUUCAAGUAAAAAAAUAUUGUGACUGAGCCACGAUUUCUUUAUCCAGUAAAUACUCAACAAACAGAUGUAGGAUUGUAUCAAAUCUCAUAUGUAUCCUUCACAGAUCAAACAAUCGCCAAUUACCUACCACUAAAAACACCACCAGAUCAUGUAAUUUGAUUACUUUAUCAGAUUCAAUCCCCAAACAGCUUAACCAAACCCUAGCACCAUAUUACAGGAUUUCUAUUUUAUUCCCCUCAUCUGAGCGUAUUCGAGCAAAAGAUAUUGUGACAGAAUCACUAUUUCUCUAUCCAGUGAACACUCAACUAACAGACGCAAAAUCCAUAUGAAUCCUUCAUGAAUCGAAAAAAAAAAAAAAAAAAAACUCCCAUUGCCUACCUUCAAAAACAUCACCAGAUCAUGUAAUUAGAUUAUUUUAUCAGAUUCAAUCCCCAAACAGCUUAAGAAAACCCUAGGAACAGAAAAAUUAAGGGGAAAACACAAAACUUGAGCCUCUUCGUUCUAAGCACAUACAAGGGAUCGAAUGAUUCCAAGAAAAACUAAACAUCAAAAAUAAAAUACCAUACGAACGGAUCAACGCGAAGGGGGGAAAAAAUGAUCGGUAAAAUGAAGAAAUUAGGGCUAAAACCAAGUAAAUCGAGAGCGAUCGAUCUCCGCAGAUCGAUCAGCGGGUGUUUCGCGUACCUCCGCCAUUGGAAGAUCCUCAAAAUCAGGAAAAAGUCGAUCGAUCUAGCGAACGCGAUUAGGGUUUCCGAUGCGACGGGGACGAAGUUGGAGAGGACGAAGAAGAGGAAGUUUUUCUUUUUUUUCCUUUUUCUUUUUUUGUUUUUUCAACGGCUGUGACCCGAGAAUUGUGGUAGCCUCCGAGAAACGGGGAUCGUUGGAUCGUUUAUGUGGGCCCACCGAAAGAUUUUAGAGAUAAUCUCUCACUAACCCCCCUAUAUGAGAAAUGCUAAGUCUCUAUUACGGUAAUUACAUAUUUAGUCCUCAAAUUAUAAAAUAAAUAAUAUUUUAAUCCUCAAAUUUUAAUUUAUUAUAAAUUUUCGCUAGAGCUUUUAAAAUUAUUACAAUUAAGUUUUAGAACCCAAUUUUUUUUUUUACUAAAGCUAUUUGAUUCGCAACCCCAAAAUGGAAAGUUUUCAUGGGGAGGGGGGGCGGCGGGUGCUGUUCACUACUUUCUACUGCACUUAACUAAAUAAAAUAUAUACAGUUAUAUGCUUAUAAUUAUAUCCAAUCAGUGUUCCAGAAAAAUUACGUUACGUGUUGUGUUUAUAUUUAAUAUUAUAUUACGUAUAUCGUAAUAAAUCUGUUAUAAUUUUUUUUAUUAUUAUCCUACUAAGAAAUGUAAAAAUAUAUUUCCAUAUAAGUUUUCUAAUUCUAUUUUAUCCGUUAGCAUUGAAUGAGCCUCAAUACCAGGUGCCGCGUUGGCUGGAUCGAAAACUAAUUCUAAAUUUGUGGCCCAAAUUUAACCCGUUGAAAAUAAUAUUUGGGCCUAACUUAGAACAAUCCUAAUCCUUUCUUAUCUUUUUUUUGUUUUUCUUUUCUUUUUAUUAUUAUUAUUCUUUGGCCACUAUUUUAUUUAUCCAAAAUUAUGCUUUGAUAAUGGAGAGUGUAAAUUCCACGUUUGGUCCUCAAAAUUAUAAGAUGCCUGAUAUUUUGGUUUCAAAAAUUAAUUUGCUAUAAAUUUUAGCUUGGACUUCUAGAAUUAUUGUAAUUAAAUCUUAUAAUACAAUUUAGUAGACUAAAUAUUGACGCAUCUUUGAUAUAUAAGUAAUAAGUAAUAUAACAUCUUAAUUAUUAGUGCAUUUUAAAUCACAGUACUACUACAUCAUUUCUAGAUUAGCAAUGCAUUAAUACUUAGUAAAUUAAAUUAAGUUAUAUGAUUGCAACAAUUUUAAAAGUUUGGAUCGAAAAUUAUAAUAAAUUAAAAUUUAACUGCCAAAGUAUCACUUGACUUAUAAUUUAAGAACCAACCAUACAAUUUUCCCUUCGAGAGAAAUACUCUAGGGUUUGCAAAAUCCAAUUUGAUUUUAGUAUUAAAAAAAAUGAUGUGAUGGAUUGUGGAAGGAGCAUUACUCAUCUAUAAAUAGUACAUAGUGCGACAACUGUUCGCACGCUGCGGGCUUUGCGGAUCCAGAGGAGGCAGGAAUCGGGGGUGAGAGAGAAGGAAUCGCGGGUGGGAGAGAGAGAAGGGAUUGAAGGUGCGCAAGAGGGAACAGAAGAGACGGGAAGAACGACACGUAAGCCAUUCCAGAGCUCAAGUUUUAAUAUAUCUAUUGAUUCCUUGCACCUACCACAUUCUCUACAAUUUCCAAAUUUAAUUAAAAUUUUGAAAAAUAUUUUAAUAAUUUAAAAUAUCUAAAAUCAAAAUAUGUGGGGGAACAAAGUGGGAGAUCCAUAUACACUUAUUAUAAAAAUGAAUAGAACUAGUUACGGAACCCCGCGCGUUGCGGCGGGAAGUCGAUACAAUAGUCAAUUAUUAAAACUAUUAAUAUUAUUUUUUUAUUAUUAAUUAAUAUUUUUGAAUAAUAUUUAUUUCCGUAGUGAGUAUAUUUAGAAAAAGAAGGCAGGACAGAAAGAUAAAACUUUUUUGUCGCAGCUAGGACAGUAAUAGUAUUUGUGACAGAGGCAGUCCAUUAAGAGGCAGAGGAAGCACACUCCCAGCAUAAACGGCAUCAUGUAUGCUAUCAUAGCCGCCAAAUUUGACUUAUAUUCUCAGAAAAAAUGACCAUUAAGGUAUUAGAAAAAUAACACAACAAAUAUAACUAUAUGAAUUAUUUUAUAACAAAUUAAUACUAAAUAUACAUAGAAAAUGUAACUAUACUUACAUAUCAGGUCAUUAAUUAGGUAUGAGAAAAAAAUAAUGUUAAUAGUUCAAGCUGAAAUAGUGAAAGCGCAAACAAACGGCGGGUUUGCAUUUAUGGUUUAAAAGGUGGUACGCAACGGGACUUUGUUUUUCAAAUAAUUUAUAAAUAAUAAAAUAUUUUUGUUUAUAAAUUAAAUUCUUUAAAUGUGAAGAAAAUCACAGAAGAGAAGUACAAUUAUAAUAUAAAUAUUUUAAUACAACAUACUUGACUUUAUGAAAUAAGAAAAUUUUAAGGCCUUUUUCAUCACAAAGUAUUGUGCUUUUACUAUAUAUUUUUGAUAUCCGGUGUAGAGAGAUUGCGCUACAUGAUCCAUUACGCCCAUCCUGCUGUUGGUUUUACAUAUUGUUUACACUGUUAGUCAUAAUAAAAUAGUUGCUUACAUACGUUUUCUUUUGAAAUGAGAAUAUGUAAAUAUUUUAAUCACUUAUAUCUUGAUUAUUUACUGCCUUUGUAUUAUUUUCUUUUCUAAAAUCUUUUUCCUUACCUAUUGUGACCUAAAGUUAUGGAAAAAUAAAAAAAAAUGAUUUUACAAUAUUAUUGUUGUUUUUAUAUAGACAUUAUUUUGAGUUUCACUUAUAUAAAUACAGACNNNNNNNNNNNNNNNNNNNNNNNNNNNNNNNNNNNNNNNNNNNNNNNNNNNNNNNNNNNNNNNNNNNNNNNNNNNNNNNNNNNNNNNNNNNNNNNNNNNNGGCACACCUGCAAAUGCGAACUAGUUCUCCGUAUAUAUUUACAAAUAAAUUAUAACUUUGAAGAGUAUAAAUUUAAAAUACUAUUCAUAUACUAUGAAUAGUGUACUAGCUCAAUAUUCUCUCUCUCUCUUUAUAUAUAUAUAGAGAGAGAGAGUUAAGCUAGAAUGCUAUCGGUAGCAAACGAAUUUCGUUGCCACCCAUUUGUUUUCGAUGAUGGAGCCUUCAAAUCGAUGAUCGAUACCGUUGAAUAUGAUCCAUACCAGUUAAAGUAUAUAGAAACCAAAUUUCAAAUCUUUUCGAAUCAUUAGCUUAAUGAUCAAAGAUUUCAAAUUUUAUAAUUUUAAUCAUCAAUAUAAGACGUUUUCUUAUUUAACGACGUAAAGAUAUUCAAAUCAAUUGAAUUUUGGUUAGAAAAUUUUUUAAACUAUUUAGAACAAGAUUUAUAUUCAUGAUCUUGAUAACAAGACUUCCAUCAUCACUUUUUAAAGAAUUUUUAUUUUCAGCUGUUCAUUUUUGUGUUCACUUAAUGGACAAGUGAACAAUAUCGAAAAAAUAUGAAAUUUUAUUUCUAGAUGCUUCAAAUGGUAUAGAUUAUGUUCAACGGUGUCGAUCGUCGAUUUGGAGAUUUCAUCAUCGAAAAUAAACGGUUGGCAACGGAGCCCGUUUACUAUCGAUAGUAUUCCAGCUCAACAAUAUAUAUAUAUAUAUAUAUAAUAUAUUAUAUUAUAAUAAUAUAUAUAAUAUAUAUAUAUAUAUUAUAUUAUAUAUAUGGCGUAAUAGCGGCUAGCUAUGCUAUCGAAAGCCUAGAGAUAAUGGUGAUUCUAAUUUUUGACCCUUAGAUCAAUUCCUUUGAUCAUUUCUAGCAUGUUGAUUAACUACUAUUAUUCUGUGGAGACCACUCAACUUUAGAAAUACUACUCAACCCUAGGGAGGACUGCAAUCAUUCCAACCAUAUAAUUUUUGAUCCAAGGAUCGAAAAGUCGGAAGCGUCAAAAUCUCACAGCUUCCGAUAGCAUAGUAGCUCUACACUAUAUAUGCUUAAGAACAAAGCAGAGUAAAAGUGAACAACCUCUUCUGGCGAGACUCCGGCGUCUUCGAGACUCUUCAGAAUACAAGAUGAAACACCGAGGCCGUCGGAUCUCGGAUCUGUUAUAUGGUAAGCGUCGCAGGUCACCGCACCUCCUAAAUACUCGGCAAAUAUGGGCGCGUCGCGGUUCAUGGCAUGUUCCAGGCUCUCCAAAACCUUUUUUUUUUUUAAUACAAAGAGAAACUAUUAAUUAAUUCCAUGAAUGAGAAGAUACAACACAAGAGGAUGAAGUGACCCUGCAGAUUUAUAAUUCUUUGAAUAAUAAGAAUUUUUUGUUUUGAGGGAAUGAAGAGCUUACACGCUCAUAAUAAAUUUUGUCAUUUUUCAAUAUUAUUUAUCAAGUCAUAAAGAAAGUAUUCAAAAUUAACGGCAAAAAAUAAAAUUUUCAUAAAAUGAGAUAAUAUGAUACUAAAAUUUAAAUCAAAGAUAUUAAUCUUAUUUUUUAUAGUAUAAAAAAUUUUAAUCAAAAUUUAACUUGAUUUGAUUAUUUCUCUACUGUUAAAUUUACAAACUGCUCAUCACGAUCAGCAAAGUAGUUGAUUUUGGACCCCUUCAAUCACUAGUAGAUAAAUGAUAUCAAAAAAUUAUAAAAUUAUAAAAAUAUUGACUAUCCAAAAAUUUAUAGAUAAAUUUUAUCAAUGCCUAUACGACGAAUGCACCUAUCCGAGGAUUAUCCAAUCCGUCCGUUUGUCUGGUCUACAUAAACAUACCAACACGCCUGAACCUUCCCCCAUGACGAAGCCAUCCCGGUCCCUGUCCCACGGCCGCGAUGCAGUCCUUGGGUAGUCAUUCCGCUGCGACAGCGCGCGGCAUGCGACGAACCCGCCAAGGCCGAUAGGGAUGAUGGAGGCCUCGACACCGCCCGCGACCAUGACGUCGGCGUCGCCGCGGCGGAUGUGGUUGGCAGCGGCGCAGAGGCAGUGGUUGGAAGUGGCGCAGGCGGUGGAGAUGGAGUAUGUGGGGCCCAUGAACGCGACGUCGAUGGCGAGCAGCGCCGUGCCCAUGUUGGUUAUGGCGUAGGGGAUGAAGAAGGGGUUGAUCUUCCGCGGGCCGCGCUCCACGAGCGCCUGCACCCCGUCGGAGAGCGUUGUGAAGCCACCCAUCCCACUCCCAACGAUCACGCCAGCCCUCAUCUUGUCCAGCUGAUAGGAACACUUUCUAUUAAUAAUAAUAAUACUACUGACAAUUGAUAUAUUCAUGAAGAGUAACAAUAUAUACUACGAAAGCUCAAGUUGGUUUCAGAAAAAAAAUGCACUAACAAAUUACUCUAUUAAAAUUUUAUCUUAAUUACAUGCUUUGUUAUAAAUUUUAUAAGCAAUUAGAAUGGAGUUUUUACCGAACAAUUUGUUAGUGCAUCUCAAAGUUAAUUAAGAAAGUUAGCAUCUGAAUUGAUGUAAUCAAAUUCAAUAGCCUCAAAAUGGUCCGAAGCUAUUUUUCUGGGAAAAAACCAAUAUAUAUCCUACAGCAUCGGAGCAAAUUUAACAAUUUUAACAUACUUAAUUGUAGGACCAAAAUUUUUAUUCUUACUAAACAAAAUUUUUAGUCCAACUAUAUUUGCGUCAGCCCAUAUUGUUGGUUUUAAUGAGCCAGCAUUAUGCCCUAUGAUAGAAGAUUAUGUUGAACUGAGUUAUGUUCGAAAUGACGUUAGACUGAAUUUUAUCAAAUCAUAUUCAAAGUGGCAUGAGGCUGAUUAGACCGAGUCAUAAUCGAAACCCGUGGGUAUUAUGUUUGUACGUUUUAAAUGAAUUAAUUGAUUGUGUAUUUCUAAUAGCUCGGACUUUUGGAAUAAAUGAUUAGUGCCAACGAUCCGAUAAGUUAUAUCAGAGACAUAGAUUGUGCAGAAACUGAAGAGGUGAUUGUUGAUUUAAAUAGGCCAGCAUCUAUCCUGUGGCGGGAGGUUAUGUUGAACCGAGUUAUGUUCAAAAUGGCAUAAUGCUGGUUGGGCUGAGUCACAAUCGGAACUCAUGAACGCCGUAAAAUUUAUGGUUAAUACAAUACAAUUAAAAAAUUUUAUAAUAAAAUAAUUUAUUAUAAUUUGUAAUAUUUAUAUUUACAUAAUUUACUUAGGUUCAAUAUCUAAUCUCAACUAUGUUAGUAAAUUUGUGAAUUAUUCGCGAAUUUUUAAAGAAACGAAUUAAACGGCCGAAUUCGUAUUUUUUCUAAAAAAUUCGGAAAAAAACGUAUUUUUUUGGUCAAAAAUACUUAUUCGCAAAUAAUUCGUGAUGGCCGAAUUAUUGGGCCAAAAAUUCGGCUCGCCGCUUGCCGCUCGCGGCCGCGUUUGCGCUCGCGUCCGCGCCCGCUCUCCCCUGCGCCCGCUCGCGCUCGCGGCACGCUUGCGCUCGCGGCACGCUCGCCCCCCGCUGCCCGCCCCUGCCCCCGCCCCCGCUCUCACUCCCACGCUCGCUCACGCUCACGCUCGCGCUCGCGGCACACUCGCCCUCGCGGGCAGCGAGGGGCGCGGCUCGCCCAAAACAGAAAAAAAAAAAAAAAACCCUUUCCAACCAAAAAAAAAAAAAAAAAAAACCUUUCGGACCCGGCCCCAAAAAAAUCACUCGAUCAAAAAAUUUUAAUCUCUUAUGACUAUUUAAUCUCUUAUUUAUUUAUUUAUUUUUAUUUUAAGCAUAUAUAGUUUUGCUAUUUUUUUACUUAAUUAACUAAAUUUUGUAGCUCUUUUUCUUAUAUUCUUAAAAAUAUGAAUAGUAUUGCUAAUAGCAUAAAUCUGGAGAGAAAAAAAAUUUAAUUUAAUAGCCGAAUUUUUGAUCCCGAAUUUUUAAUUGGUGAACGUAUAAUAUCCGUAUAAAUCACGUAUCCGAAUAAUUGGCGAAUCCGUUUUUUACCCGUAUUUUUUAACGAAUUUAAAAAUUAGAAGACGAAUUUUAUCCGAAUUAUACCCGUACCGAAUUUUUACCAAAUUCGAAUUAACUAACUAUCAUCUUAAUAAAGCUUCCAAUUAAAUCUUAAAAUAGCAAUAUUCCAAAUUAUUUCGGAAUAAUUGAAAAUAGCAAGAUUUAAGCAAUAUAAAAUACUUCGGCCGGAAAAUUCUAAAACUUUUUUUUGACGGUAUAAUAAGAAUAACUCUCGUUAUUCUUUUUUAUUUUCUUUGAAUCAAACACCGUCUUAGUUAAAAAUAAAAAUAAAAAUAAAAAUUUUAAUAAAACAUGUGGAUAAAUAUAGUCCAGAACAGAAGUGUAAAUUUACACCUAUUUUAUAAGUGUACAGACAGUAUUACUCUUCAAAUUACUACCUACCUUCCUAUGAGCCGCACUUCCGACGCCGAGUCCGGCGCUCUCCAGCGCCUUCUUUCCGGCGACAACGGCGUACCGGAUGCAGUCGUCGUACCUGCGGUUGUUCUUCGGGUCGAUGUAGCCUUCGGAGUCGAACCCCCGGAUCUGGCCCGCAAACCGCGUGGGGAACGGCGACGCGUCGAACCGGUCGAUCGGCCCCACGCCGCUCUCCCCCUCCAGCAGCUUCUCGUAGAACCGGUCGGUGUCGUUCCCGAACACCGACACCGACCCCGUCCCCGUCACCACCACCCGCUUCUUCGGGUCCGUCUCGCGCCGCCGCGGCGCCGUCGUCGCCACCGCCGAAGCCACCGCAACGAUCCUCGCGACGCGGCGGCGCGAGAAGAGAGGGGGAGGGGAUGGGGAGAGGUGGAUGGAUUGCAUAGUUGUGGAGGUGAUAAGAGAGAUGAGCAAAAUUGAACUGGAAAGGGGGCGGGAACAAAAUGGAUUGGCGUGAUCUCCAGUUCACACAAACGAUGCUCAUAUAUAUUUGUACGAGGGAAAAAUGCACGGAUAGUCCCUCUCCUAUUUCGACAUUGCGAUUUGGUUUCUGAAAACUUUUGUAUCGGAUGCCGAUACUCAUGCGAUACAUGUUCAACAUGUGUCGAAUACUUCAUAAGAAUUUCCGACAUUUUCAAAAAUUUAAAAGAAAAUUAAAUUUGCUUUUUGAAGGAUACAUUAAAAAUAGUUGCUAUAUAGAGGAUAUGAACUGUUUGGUAUGCGUUAUCCUAUUAACGAUUUGUAGAAUUAUUGUAUUUAGUUUAUUCCGUAAGUAAGCAUGUCGGUAAUGUUGAGUUAUGUUGCACUAACAUGACAUGUGCAUUAUAAAAUUGUGAUUAACAAAAAGUAAAUAGUACUAUAAAUAUGAUGAAUUUUGUUUUUUCUAUUGACAAAAGUAACUUAAUUAUAUAUAUUUAAGAGUACAGCAGCUUUUGUGUUUUUAAAAUUCUCACAAAAAAAAAUAAAAAUUAAGAUAUUCAAUUUUUUUUCAAUUUUUUUAGUUAUCUAUUAAAUUUAAUAGAUGGUUAAAAUUUUGAAACCUUCUAAUAUUACUGUAGCUUUACUCAUAAUAAUAAUAUAAUAUUAAAAAUAUUUUAUUAUUAUAUUUCCCAAGUACAAUAUCUUAAUUUUUUAAAAACUUAUUGCUUUAUUGGAUCGUAUUGUAGUACGCGGCAUUUGUAUUCUAUACCCACGUACAACAUGCGGAUCGAGUUCUGCUAGAGUACUUUAUUUUUCUUCGAACCAUUUUAUAAAACAACUACUGUACUAUAAAAAUUUUUAUUUUUUUACAAGACUCAUAAUGUGAACUUUAAUUAAAUAAAAAAAAUUCAAACUCACGAUCUUUUAUUUUGCUACCAUAUGAAAUAAUCGUUAUACUCUAAAAUUUUAAAAUAUUAGAGAACGGUAUUUAUAUAUUUUUAUAUUUAACAUAUAUUUAUUCGAUUUAACGGUUUAGAUGUAAAAAUACAGUAAGUAACAACUUAUUAUUAUAACAGGUUAAUGUCAGGCCGGUGCCGGUUCGCCACCCGACUAAUGUCAGGACGGUAACCGGUCUUCCAAGUCAAAAUUAUCGGUACCCAAAUUAAAGUCGUCUUCCCAGUCAAAAAGGAAGGAAUUAAUUAUAUACAGGUCCUGUAAAUAUAAUAAAUUAUAAAUAUAUUUUUACGUACAAAUUUCAACGUUUAUAUUUUAUUUUUACAAAAGCUAUGAUAUUUUUAAAUAUAUUUCUGCCGUUAGAAUCCGUUAGAAAAUUUUAGUUAACCAUACGUUACAUAAUUAACCCUAGUUAGUUAAUGAGGUGAAUUGAUUUUUUUAUCACUCUUCAAUUAAUAGUUGAAAUUUUUAGAGGAAUAUAUUUGUGAUGACAAAAAGGUCAUUCCACUCAUAAAAUCGACAGUACUUUAACGGUAACAAACCAGAGUGACAUAUUUGAAAAUAUUAGGACUUUUAUAAAAACAGCAUAUAAAAAUUAAACUUUGUAGGUAUACAUCUACAACUUUUAUAGAGACAGCAUAUAAAAUUUGAACUUUGUAGGAAUAUAUCUAAAUUCACUAUAUUUACAAGGAUCUUAUAAAAUUAAUCCAAAAGAAAAAGACUAGCACGGUACCCAAAACGAGACUUUUCAUUAAAAAUGCAUAGAAACUAAAAAAAAUUAACAACACAUCAAUCUAAAAUACAUCAAAUUGAUACACAAUUUUUAAUUAAUUACUACAACCGAAUUUUGAAUUCAUAGCGUGUAACAUACCUCACCUUAUUAUCCUCGGAAGAGGGGAGAGUGUCAAGGGGCUGAUUCCCCGGCGUUCGAGAUGGACGAAGAAACACGUGUUGUGGACGAGUGCGAUGGAAAAAUCUUAGUUACGGAUUCGAAACUAGCAUGAAGGUGAGAGAGGGCGAGGAAAAGAAGAAGAAGAUUUUUCAUUACUAAAAUUUUGAUUAAGAGAAGAAGAUAUAAUAUCAUAUGAGUAAAAAUAUUAAUUUAUCUCACUAACUUACCAAAGUUAAGUAUUUUAUUUAUACUUAAGUAUAUUUUUUCAGAAGGGAUAUUUUUGAAAAUAUUAAAAUUUUUAUAGAAAUAAGAGUAAAAAGUUGAACUUUGUAGAAAUAUUUUUGUUAUUUGAUUUGUUUACAUAGAGUUAUUUGCAAUUAACCAUAAAAAAAAAAGUCAAACCAUCGUACCUUAAUUGAAAGAUUGGAAGAAAAAAAAAAAUCUCAUAACCCAAAAGUCCCAAACCCUAAUUGUUAGUAGUCAGCAAAUCAAAGUUGGCCGUCCUCCCUGUUAUUAUCCAGGGAAUUCUACACUGUCACAUUUGUACUAUGUCAUCAAUACAGGCCAAUCAUAUUUCUUCUUUCCAAAUAAAAAUAUUAUAAAAAUAUUUUUUUAUAAUCAUAAUGGGAUAAAUAUUUCUAAAAAGAGAUAUUUGAUUGAUUUGUUACGCCAUGUCACCAAUAUACUCCGUGCAUUCUAGAAUUUUUCGUUAUUAUCACAUCCACCGCUCGAAAGAACCACAAAGAGAUUUUUAUUAAAAAAGUAAAAAAUUACAAUUUCUUUUUUAGUGUAGAUUUUUUUCAUUCUUCAUGUCUAUAUAUUUUUUUUCUCAUUUUUUUGAGUUUCAUCUUUUAAUUUUUAUAGGUUGUUGGGUAAUAAAAAUAUCUUUUUUUAAAAAAAAAAAAGUUUUUUAUGGGUUUGGUCCUAUUACGGCUUCAAGUUUUCGGAUUCGGAUUCGGAUUUUGGAUUUUUAGUCGCAUUCGGAUUUAGAUAUGGAUUUUUAAAGUCCGUCUUAUUCGGGCUUGGUAGUCGGGUUCCAAUUCGGAUUUUUGAAAUCAGCCCUGAAUCCGACCCGUUGGCAUCCCUAUCUCCGUCUCAUCUUUCAUAAAUUGAAAGUAGACCGAUCCAAAUCGGUUUUAGAAAAUCAAAAUAAAAACUAAACUAGUAAUGUAGUCUUCCAGAUUAAAUCUAAUCAGAAGUUUAAAUUUAAUUUUAGUCAGGUCGGUUGGUAUAAAUACUUAAUUUGAAAUAAGUUUAAUUUAUUGAGUUAAUUAGUUUGAUUGAUUGAAUUCAAAACCUUAAAAUCAAAUAUUUUAUUUGAGAAGUUCUCAAAAUCAAAUCAAAUUAUUUGUAACGAAAAAAAAAAUAGAACCAUAUUAAACUGAAGUUGUUGCUUCUGUUUGGCUUCGUAUACUUAGUUUUGUAAUUUAUUAGAUCCCAAAUUAUAUCAAAAUGUUUUAUUUGAAAAUGUCAAAAUUAAACUGAAGUUUUGAUUCAGUUUGACUUUGCAGUAUUUUUUUUCCUUUUCUUUUAAUUAGGGCAUUUUACUCUGGACAUGAUUUAUUGAUCAAGUAAAUUUUUAAAGGGUUAAUUUUUUACAGGUCUCUAUAAAAUUAUCAAAUAGCAUAUAUAUUUNAAAUGCCCUAAUUAAAAGAAAAGGAAAAAAAAUACUGCAAAGUCAAACUGAAUCAAAACUUCAGUUUAAUUUUGACAUUUUCAAAUAAAACAUUUGACAUGAUUUAUUGAUCAAGUAAAUUAACAAAAUAGUUAUUUUUUACAGGUCUCUAUAAAAUUAUCAAAUAGCAUAUAUAUUUUUACGAAACUUAUGAUUAGACUUAUCUCUUCAAAAAAAUUUUAGUUUACAAAUAUACCCUCCAAAAGUUCUGAUUUGCUAAUAUAUGGUUCCUGCCAUUUGAUUCACUGUUAGUUUUUUUAGUAGUGGGUGUUUAAAAUAACUAUUUUGUUCUUAUAAAUUUGUUGUGUAAAAACGCGUGCGGUGUACCUCAUGUUGAGGCUCUCGCCUUCGACGUCGUCGCUACCGUAGGUCUCGCUGUCGCUAACCAUGAAUAAAAAAGAAUAAGUUUCGGAACAUGACAUCAAUAUUGGAAUACAAAUUACACAUAUAAGUGAUAAAAAGAUCAUUUUACCUCUUAGCUAAUAGCAGUUAUCUCUUUUAAUUCAUGAUUAUCUAAAUUUUGAUAACAGCAUGAUAUAUUUACAGACAAAAGGUCUUCUGUUAAGGAUAAAUUUAAUAACUUAAGUUUAUACAAAUAUAAUUGUUAUUUGAUAUAUUUGCAGGGAAUCAUAUGCAAUUAUUCCAUUUCUAAAUGCCAAUCAAACGCUUGUCAAAUUAAGGAACAAAAUUCUUCAAUAUUCUUUGGAAAAAAUAUCUCAUCUAAUAUAAUAUGAUAUAUCCAUACAUAAUUAAUGACUUAAUUUAUAUAAGUAUCAACGUUAAUACCAACGCAUUGCGCGCCAUGUCGUACCACAAACUCCACACGAUUCCAUUCACCUAAUUAAUAUUUAAUAAUUAAUGCCUUAGAUUUCAAUCUAAUUUGGUUCAUAUAAUCUACAUUAUCUAAAAAUUUGAUGCAGUAAAAAUUUUGAUAUUUUGGAAACACAUAUAUCUUGCAUCAGGUAUAAUUAUUUAGAUAAAUCAAACAGUGGAAAAACUGAUGCAUAUGAUUAGUCAUAUGUGUGUCGGAUGAGCUCGAACUAAUAACGAGAUUUAAGUAUUUUACGCUGAUGAAUUUAGACCCAACAAAUUAUUAUUAGUAUUAGCGAUCAGUUUGUAUGAUUGAGUCUGGCGAGAAUGUUAGGGUUUAAAAUGAGUUAUUAAUGCUGAUGGGCCACAUCGCUACGGCUUAUGCUAUUAAAACCUAGGGUUUGGUUGAUUUAUUUGUUUAGUCGUAUUUCCAAAGCUAGAAAUAAAUAGCAUUGGUCGUAUUGCCAAUAAGCCUACGAGCCAUUUAUGUUUCAAUGGUUAAUUAGGUGGCAAAAUCUACAAAGAAUCUGGUACGUGAUCUUGUAGAGGUGGAGGAUUAAUUAAAGAAACACCACGUGAGGUGCGAGAGUACCAAAAUGUGGAGCUUAGAUUUAGGGGUUUAUGAGUGGAAUCGAAAUUGAAAAUGAUAUUCGAUUGCAUUAAAACGAAAAAUAAUGACGAAUUAUUUAAAAAUAUUUGGUUCAUUAGUGAAAUAAAAGUUUAGAAUUUUCUGAAAAAUAUUUGAUUAAGAGAAAGGGAGAGUCUCUGUAAGAGAGAGUUUUGAAUGAUUUACUAGGAAUGGAGCCAUAAAUCAGAUUGGGCCAUAAAUGUAUUCGGUCAUUACCAUUCCAGAGUGGAAUAGGAAUUAGAAUCCGAUUCCCGUAAAAUAAACGGUAACUAGUGAAAUCAAUAAAUUCUUAUUCCGAUUUAAUAGUCUAAAAUACUUGAAUCAAAUAAGUCUUUAGAGUUUGUGUCAGACAUUCGUGGCAAUCUGUACGUGCGCUUGCUCAGAUCAUGUCAUGAAAUUAGCAUCCGUUUGUAUUCAACUACUGCAAUUGGUUCGAACUACAUCUGCAGCCGUUACGAAAAGUAAUUUUGAACAAAAGGUAAAUUUAUUUUUUAAUUAUUUUAUAAAAAAAUAUAUUUUUAUGCCGGAGGUAAUCUCACGACUAUAUAUUUAAAGUGAUAAAAUACAGACAAGUAUAGUGGAAGGGUUUAGUAUGAACAUGAUAUGAUCUAUAUAGCAUAUAAAAAUUAUAAAAUUAAAUACAUAUCAAUAUUCAUGAUGAUAAAUAGAAUUAUAAUAUAACGUAUAUAGAGUCAUAGAAAAAAAUAAUUUUUACCAAUCAGCAGAAGCGAGAAGUGAAACGAUGAUAUAAAUAUUAUUAACCAAACCUUAGGUGAUUUAAUUUUUCCUCUCGUCCAAGGCAAAAUUCUAUAGAACUGAAGCUAAUAUUUUAUCAGAAUGAUGUGAGAAGUUGGUAAGACCAGUAAUCUUUUAUAUAGAGUUCAUAUCGACUUUCCAUCGAAGUUUGAUUACAAUUUUAUUUUAUUUAAAUAGAUAGAAAAUGAGUACAAUAUAUUAUAUCAAUCAAUUCUAUAUCUAUUAAAUCUUUAUUUAUAAAAAAAAUCAUAUUUGAAUAUGAUUAAUUAAGUUUUUAUGAAAAUUCUUACAGGAUAUCCAACCUUUAAAAGUUAUUAUUUAAUAUCUAACCUUUCAAUUUAUUGAAUAUCAGUCACUCAACGACACUUUGACUUCAAAUUUUGAAUGUAUCAUUUAUCUUCAUAGAUUUAACUAGUAUACUUCAUGCGAUAUUCACAACUACAAAUUUAAUUAGCUUAAAUUUUGAAGUCAAAGUAUCUUUGAGUGACUCAAAUUAGACAAAUUGGCCAAUAAGUAAAAUUAAAAUUUUAAAAAAUUUGAUAGCCAACUCAAGUUGGUCCAUAGUUCACAUAUACUUUUUACUUAAAAAAAAAAAAAACAAAUUUCUUGCUAUCCUGAUUGACUGAAUGUAUAGAAAAUUGACAAUAGAUCAAAAUGUAAAUUGAGUGUAGAGAUCAAAUCUAAAUGAACAAAGUGAAGUAGCAUGCUACAUUCCUCUCUCUCUCUCUCUCUCUCUCUCUCUCUCUCUCCCAAAAAAAAAAAAAAGAGUUAAACAUAGUGCCAGCAAUUAAAUUUAUCUAAGGAAAAAAAAUAUAUAUAUAUGAGCCUCAAACAAUGCAAAACCCAUUUACAAUGAUAAACUUUAUGAAUGUCUAUUCAUUCGUCAGUCCUAAUUAAGUUAGGUUUAAGUUUAACCACCAAAACCCAAGCUUUGUAAAUUGUUACUAAUCAUCUCUCAUUUUAAAUAAAAAAUGAUAAUUUUUAUUUUCUAGAGUAAUCUCAUUAUACCAUAUAAAAAAUAAUAAACAUAUACAAAAGUAACUUUCAAGUUUCAACUACGAACAACCAAAUAAAAUAUUUCUAAUUUUAUCGACCUAAAUUAUAUGCAACCAAACAAAUUAGAUGCAAAAAAAAAAAUUAUAUUUGCAGUUGUUAUGCUAAUUAUAUGUAUCUAUAAAACGCUAGAUUCAGAGGUUUUUUUUAAAAUACUAUAAUAGAGUGCGAUCAAAAUUCAUUCAUAACUUAAUGCCAAAUGCAAUGGCCCAAUCACUGAGCAUAAUUAAUUUCUUUAAGAAAAACUUAAUUGAUGUGAUACAUAUUUUUUUGAAAAUAAAAUAGACUAAUUGUUAUUAUCCGAAUAAUUGAUGUUUAAAAGAAUUUAUUUUAUACUUUUCAACUAAUGUAAAAUUUUUAAUGGUUUAAAAAUUUUUAAUGGUAUAAUUAAUGUUUUAAAAUUUUUUAAUUGCAUACAUGUCCCUGCAAAUAUAGAGAAUUACAAAUAUAUUUCUAUAAAAUUCAACUUUCAUAUGUUGUCCCUACAAAAGUCCUAAUAUUUUCGAAUAUGUGCCUGUCGUUAGAAUCUGUUAGAAAAAUUUAGUUAACUAUGGGUUAAAUACUUAAUCCUGGUUAAUUUAUGAGAUAACUUGACAUUUUUAUCCCUCUUAUAUUAUACUGUUGUGACUUCUAGAUGGACAUAUCUGUGAUGGCAAAAUUGACAUUUUGUUUUAUUUAUUUGUUGUUAAAAUAUAAACACGUCUCUAAUGGUAACAAAUUAGAGAGACAUAUUUAAAAAUAUUAAAACUGUUACAGAAACAACAUAAAGUUAGGGGCAAUUGCUUAUAUACCCCUGAAAAGUUUCCGACUUUCUAAUUUAUCUCGCUAAUAUUGAAAAUACCUUUUUUAUGUUCCAACCUAUUUCAAAUAUACUCAUAGAGUUAACAUCUGUUAAUGAACUCUGUUAUCUCUAUAAAAUUACUAUUUUAUCCUUUUCAAAUGUACCCUUCUACCAGCACUGACUUUUCAUAUUUGCCCUUAAGUUAGGGGCACAAAAAGUAUUUUGCUUUUUUGUCUUUUCAAAUAUACUCCUUCUACCAUCACCAACAUUUCUUAUUUGCUCUUAAGUUAAGGGCAAAAGUAGCAUUUUAAUUUUUUUAACUGUGGUAGAUAUUUAAUUCACGUUUAACCCAAUUUAACUUAAUGGGUGAUAACUAUAGAGAUAUUUUGGAAUAACGGAGGAACAUAUGAGGGGUAUAUUGAAAAGAAAAAAAAAAAGUAGGGAUAAAUGACAUAUUUUCAAAGUUUUAAGGAGUAUAUAGGCAAUUAUCUCUAAAGUUAAAUUUUAUAAGGAUAUAUUUGUAAUUUACUAUAUUUGUAGGAAUCUGUAUGUAUUUAACACUAUUAUUUAUAUGAGUGCUUGUGUUUUUGGUCUAAUGGAUCAAACAAUUUUGGUCCAUUGAAUCAAAAACCUCCUUCCAAAGUCUGCUGUGGCAAACCUUGGGAGGAGAUCUCCUGGCCCUAGGAGCUCCAACCUUAAGGCCCAAGGCAAUGUUCGGGCUGUGCUAGCCCGGCUGGCAUGGCCCAAGCGGGACGUGCCGUGCCUGGCCGUUGGGCCCCAGACGAGAGACCCAGUACGACUCUCAACCUCGGUCCAGGCCGGGCUGGCACGGCACCCAUGCCGUUCUCCAGUCCGGUCGGAGAUCAUGGGCCGCCCGGCCCGUUUUACAUUCCUAGUCAUACACAUUAUAAUUUAUGGGUCUGUAUUGUUGUAAAGCCUCAACACUCCCACGUCAGAUGGAAAAAUGAUUAGGCUUAGUUUCGUAUUGAGAUCUAUCUAACAUUAUUAGAUAAAAUGGAGUUAGAGUAAAAGUAUAUAGAGAUAUGCUUUUGCGUUCUCCGAUGACACCGUAGAAAGUAUAUCAUAAUCAACUCAUCGCUAUGUGCAGAACGCAAUAUUACGUACGAAAACAAACAUGGUAUUUUCCUAUCGUACUUUCUCACCGCACGUAACACAAUCUCCUCGCAAUUCCAAAUAAAGUCUAAUAUAUAUGAGGCCCACACGCUAGUAAUAAUAAUUAAAUUUAAUUAUUUUGGGUCUAACAAAUUAUUAUUGCUAGCGGAUAAGAGAGUUACAAAAAAAAAAAAAAAAAAAAAAAAAAAAAAAAAAAAAAAAAAAAAAAAAAAAAAAAAAACCCGACCAAAAACGAAGAAAAAAACCUUCAAAGAAUCACUUUCCCAUCGAACUCCGAUUCGACCAAAACCGGGCGAGUCGGAAUGGGAAGGAUUUGGGCGUCGCAGUCCGCUCUCCUUCUCCGCGACUUCCUCCUCAUCUUCCUCCUCUUCUUCGGGUACGCAAAGCUCGCUCACAAGUUUCUUUUUUUUUUUGUGUGUGUACGUCCUCUAAAAUACUCUUAUUAGGGUUUUACUCAGCUUCUACCCAAAUUCUCGCAUCAUCCGAACAAAUUCGCUUUUGUUUCAGUUCAAUUUCUCACACUUCGUAUUUGCAUUUGAUCCGCCCUUUAUUUAGCAGUGCUAAUCAUAGAAUCUUUCUACUUAAAACCCUUUUUUAUUAUUAUUAUUUUUUAAAAAAUAGAAUCUCUGUGUAGGAAUAAACAAACGGUAAAUUGCUUCCAAUCAUUAACAAGGAAUAAUAAAAAUUUAGAAGCAGCGUUUUUUUUCUUUUGUUUUUAAAUUCUUUUUUAAAUCAGUUGUCAUUCGUCAUUUUGCUGGAAUGCAUUGUAAGUUAACCAAUCAUGACAAUAAAUAAAAAAAAAAUCCUUCUGACUGUAUAUAAAAUUAUAUAGAAUUAGUUUUAAAAAAAAUAAAAAAUAGCAACAAUACCAAAUGAGGCCUAAACUAUUUGAUUCGUUUUUACAACACCUCUAGAGAGCCUACCUUUAAAAAAAAAAAAAAAAAAAAAAAAAAAAAAAAAAAAAAAAANGCUCUGUCAACUAAUAGUCAUUUAUUGUCACAAUUAUAUUUAGUAAAAAUUAAGAAAUUAAAUUAUUCACUGAAUUACUAUUAGAUUUAAUAAAUUUCAAAAUUAUUUUAGUGAAAUAAUAUAAAUAAAUAAUUAGAAGUUAAGUAAGUAUAAAUAAAAAAGGGGUAACGUCUUUUUUACACUAAUUAUUUAGUCAAUAUAUUUUUCAUCAAAAAUUUGACUAGGUAAAUUUUGUUUAUUUGCUAAAAUUUCGAUUUGUAUGUAUUUUUGGCCCCCCUCAUAAUCGAGUGCUAGCUUCGUCUCUAACCAUAUAAUAUGGCGAUCUUCAGUAUGGUAUUUCACUGCGUAAAUGUUUACAUCAUAAUAAAUCGACUCGUGUAAUGUGUGCGAUAUGAUGUAUCAAUGUGGUGAUUCAGUACAUAGAUCCGACCUUUACUUUGACAAUGUCGAUCACUUAAUGAAAUUUAUCCUUCGCAUAAUUUUGUGUGGAUCUUGUAUACUCGCAUGUUAAAGGACUUCUCUCUGUUGCUUGUUUACUAAAUGAUUUUGCUGAUGUUCAGUGGUCCAGUUUAUGUUAUGGUUCUGGAAAAGCCUGACGCCGUCUCGCGAUGGCGCGCUUUGAUUGGACCAACUGAUGCCAGAAAGGCUAAAGUUUCUCAUCCUAGCAGGUUAAGAAUUUCUCAUGUACUUUUGGUUUCAUAUACCUAUAUGUGUUUGUGCGUGUAAGCAUGCCCGUAUAAACUUAAAUGAUGAAAAUUUGUCUUAUUUCAAGUGUGCGCAUAUUUUUGCUUUUGAUUUGCAGCAUUAGAGCCAUGUGCGGGUCGGACUUGGAAAGGAAUUGCGUCCAUGGUUCUGAUUCGCCUCAAUCGGCUGCAAGGGAAAUCUCAUUUUUCUUCGGAGACAUCUCUCCAGGUUCUUUUCUUCUUUUGCCUCUCUCUCUCUCUCUCUCUCUCUCUGUCCCUCAAUUAGCCAUGUUGAUGUUGUCCCUGCUGCUUCUGUUCCUUCACCUUAGCGACAACAUACGAAUUACCAAGAUGAAGCAUCGAUUUGCUCCUUUUUUCAUUCACUUGUGUACUUAAUAAGGGAGAAAUUAUAGCUUGAACCUGGUUUACAAUGACAACCGUAGAUCGCCAGAGUAUCUGCCAUCCAUCCCUUCUCUCCUUUAAAACCACAUUGUCUGGUGAGUUUUAGACUUCUCGUAUAUAUAAAAUAAACGCGGUGAGGAUUUUGAGUAAGGAAUGGAGAACAGAUGAAUGCGCUAUCUGCGGUCGAUACGACAGAAGAGAUGUUGGCAAUAGUUUAUCCUUUCGGCUGUAGAAAAUAUUUAUUUAUUUUUAUUUAUUUUCCAGCUGUUACAAAGCAUGACGAACUUUAGAAGGUUACCGGGAGGCACAAAUUCAUCUAAAAAGACAAAUCGAAGCAAGCGGCUCGGCUAUUUCUCAGGUAGUGCGAACGACCGGUCCAUGGAAUUCUAGUUACAAGUCAUUUAUCCGGUGCCCAUGGUUUCCUCCACGCAGGCGCUUGUCGUCGAUGGAACUUUAUGCGACUUUUAGUUUUUUAUUGCCUCGAUCGUGUAAGAAAACUCAAUAUCAUCAAAUGUUAUCGGCCAAAUUGGGAAUUUGAAUGCCCUGUAAGUGUACAUUUCCUAAAUUUAAGGCUGCUUACUAUAAAAUGUUUCCAGUGUACUUUGAGGGACUCUUUUUAAGUUUGUUUCCAGUGUAUUUUGAAGUACAGUGUUUCAGAACAAUGAAUCUUAAUCAUUUCCUGCUGCAACUUACACUUAAAGCUGAAGCCAUUGCAGGCCCAACUAAGCAACAAGAGAUCAACUCUUUGACUAGCAGGUUAGCUAUGCUAAUUGUUGAUCUGAGACUCUACAAGCAAAGGUAAAUUUAUGACACGGUGACGCGUCGCCGCAUUACUUUCAUCCUAACCGUCCAUUCCAACCCAUCAAAUUACCCUGUUACAUCACUCUGAACAGGACUUACUAUGUUGUCAAUGAUCUUUCGGUAACAUUGCUCAAAAUCAGACGAGUCGACAAUUCUUCGCCGCUCCACUCAAAAUAAGAAAUGGCUCGACAAAAUUCGUCCCGAGUGUUAUUUCCAUGUAAAUGUAUUACGUAAUAACUCUGUUACAGUAUAAUUCAGUCGUCACGAUUGUGAACACCCACAAACCCAGUACAAGAUUAUUGCGCGUGAAAGGUAAAAAGAUCGAAAAGAAAGAAAAGAGAUCCGAACAGGCCACAAAUCAGCUCAGCUCGGAAGGACGAGGUAAUUGAGGAAGGGUUCUGCGUUGGGAGCGAGAGCCUUGAGCUCGUCGCGAGUGGCCAGUUGGAAAUCCUCGAAUUGGAAUGCAGGGGCACAGGUGCAGCCUACCAGCGAGUAGUGCAGCUCGGAGUCCCGCUUCCGAGACUUAACAAGGAGGCUGCCGUCUGACGCAAAGGAUUCUACGUCUAAGGUUGGAAACGAUCCGAACCACACGUUUGGCGGUACGGUGUAUUGCGGCCGGUGCCCGGCAUUGAGAUCUGGGCCUAGGACAGUUAGCUCGAUGUGACCAUCGUCAUGUAGCUCAAAGACCUGGAUGUACAACACAAGCAGGUAAAAAUAAGUGACUUUUAAGUAUACACUACACCUAUAAAAUCUGAAAUUUUCAUGUUAGAACCGCAAAAGUGCAGUUUCUUACAGUUCACGAUUGAAAGUUGUUUCUCUGAUAGGUAAACAUUAAGCACAAUAGUAAACAUGUAAGAAAACAAAGUUUCUGAAGGGCAUUAAGAAAUUCGGAUAACGGAAGGGGCAUAAAGAGAUAAUCAUUCACUGGAAUAUAUAAAAGUAAUGUGGCUGCCGUUUGAUAUUAAGUUAGGGUUUCUAACCGUGAGGGGCUCGCCCAUGUAAUAGUGCCAGGUUUCGGCACAGGGGAUGCGGUGGAGGUGCGAAACACUACCCGACGGCAGCAAGAAGUAAAUGGCUGUGCUCACAGGGCGCUCGACCUUAUCUGCACAAGUUUUCAGUUACAAGACUCAUCGAUUAUAAGCACUAGAAAAUAACGGGUUUAGAUGAUUUAUCAGUAUCGUUGCGUAGGAAAAGACAUAACUGAAAACAAUAUUUCAGAAAGAAAUACCACACAUCGUUGGAAAUUUACGACGCCAUACCACAGGAAUAUUGGAACACUUUUGCAUACAUGUAUAUAGACAUAUAUAAAUGCAUAGCAGUAUGUAAAUAUAGGAACUUUAGUUUUCAUUUUCACUUUCUAUUGAAUCGCUUUUCGCAAAUUAUGAUGACAAAUAAACAAGGAAGAAUCUGUAAUUGAUCCGUUAUAUACAUUGCAAAACCAUUUCGCUAUUAUCAUUCAAGAUGCAAGAAAUACUAAAACCAUUUCGCUAUUAUCAUUCAAGAUGCAAGAAAUAAUAAAACCAUUUCGCUAUUAUCAUUCAAGAUGCAAGAAAUAAUAAAACCAUUUCGCUAUUAUCAUUCAAGAUGCAAGAAAUAAUAAAACCAUUUCGCUAUUAUCAUUCAAGAUGCAAGAAAUAAUAAAACCAUUUCGCUAUUAUCAUUCAAGAUGCAAGAAAUAAUAAAACCAUUUCGCUAUUAUCAUUCAAGAUGCAAGAAAUAAUAAAACCAUUUCGCUAUUAUCAUUCAAGAUGCAAGAAAUAAUAAAACCAUUUCGCUAUUAUCAUUCAAGAUGCAAGAAAUAAUAAAACCAUUUCGCUAUUAUCAUUCAAGAUGCAAGAAAUAAUAAAACCAUUUCGCUAUUAUCAUUCAAGAUGCAAGAAAUAAUAAAACCAUUUCGCUAUUAUCAUUCAAGAUGCAAGAAAUAAUAAAACCAUUUCGCUAUUAUCAUUCAAGAUGCAAGAAAUAAUUAGUAUGGAAUGCAUCGACAAGUAAUGUUUUUUGUAUGACAUUACUAUCAGCCAUCCGCCUCUACUAAGCCGAAUUUGUAAAUUACAUAUUACAUUAAUUUGCAAAUAUCAAAUCAACAUUCAUCAAGAAAAAGAGAGACUUCAACUGAUUCAUCCGCAAAAAGCUUCCGCUAGUUUCUUUUCCAUGAUGACCAUAUCUCUAUCGAUAAAAUGUAAUGUACAAAGGUUCCAAGAUAGCGUCUUAAUGGUUUCUAUAUCAGAACCAUGUCGGUACUUUAUUUUGAGAAAAUUGGAUAUUUGAGACAAAAAUCUAAUGCGUGUCAAUGCUGUACCAAAACGCUUUUGACAAUUUCAUGCAUUUCAGACACAGCUUUUGACAAUUUCAUGCGUUUCAGACACAGGAAAAAACAACAAAAAUUUAUCAUACAAGUCUUUCGCGAUGUUCCUUUUCUCUACCUAGAUUUCACUCAACUCCACUUUAAAAUCGCACAGAGUGAAAUCCAACAAUACAUAAGGGUGCAUCUGAAAAGACUUGUCUGAUAUAAAGUUUCUCCAAACACAGCUACGAUGUUAAAAUGAGCUAGUUUUGCCAAAAUCUAACUAUUUGUAAGAACUAUAUGAAUUCUCUCUUUUAAGAUUGAUAAAAAUGUACCGAACUUACUUGAGGUACGAACUAUUUUGAGUCGACCACCCAAUCUUUCAAAAAUUUAAUUUUACUACCCAACAUUUCAAUUUGUUUGAUUUGAAUAAGUCAACGGUACUUUGACUUCAAAAUAUGAAAGCGUUAUUUAUCUUUACAAGUUAUACUCCACUCAAUUAUUGCAACUAUCAAUUCAUUAAAGUAUGCAAUUAGCUUAAAUUUUGAAAUUAAAGUAUCAUUAACCUACUCAAAUCAAACUAAUUGGAAAGUUGGAUUGUAAAAUCAAAAUUUUGAAAGAUUGGAUAAUCAAUUCAAAAUGGUCCAUAAUUUAGGUAAAGUUCUGUGCAUAUUUACCUUUAAGAAUUGAUAUUCUUACUACUUCCUUGGCGAUUUAACUAAUGUUAGUCACUCUAAAUUGAUGGAAUAUCGAUCUAUGUCAUUAAUUAAAAAAAAAAAAUUGAAAGCUCGGAUACCAAAUAUUAAAUUUUAUAGUUUAGGAAAUUUCAGAUGGUUCCGGAGCAUUCAACACAAAGAUAAGCUAAUGAUCAUUUCAAAAGGGAUAAACCCCGAAAAUCCUCACACAAAUAUCAUCUCAUUGCUUAAAUUAAUACCUAAAAGACACCAAUUAUACAUAUUUUUCGAUCUCACUACUCCAUCUCCAAUAACAAAAAACGUUAAAAAAAAAAAUCUAACUUUUGUUAGGUUUCUCAUCAAUUUCUCAACAACAUGGCAAAACCCACAACAUCAAAUCGCAAAACCACAUAAGAAAACACAAAUAUUAGCACUGCGGAUGGAUUUCUCAACCAAAAAAUUCGGAAAAAAGGGGAAAAAAAGGGGGAAAAGAAAGGAGAUUACAGUGAGGAGGGAGGAGGGAUUUGGGGAGUGUGAUGGAGAAAUCUCGGAAGGUCUCAGCGAAGAAUCCCCCCUCCGGGUGCGGCUUCAAAUCCAAGAGCGACGCGAUCUCCGAAGAGGUCUUCGUAUUCGCGGAGCUCCCCAUCAUCUUCGAUCUCCUAUAACACUUUUAGAGAGAGAAAGAGAGGGGAUGAGAGAGAGAGAGAGUGAUCGCUUGAGCACUAUUGCUACGAUGAUGAUAACAACUCCCCUUCUGGCUGUUGUUGACAAAGAGGUUUUAAAAAGGACCAAAAAAGUAUGGGGACACCCCUCAACUCUUUGGUUCUUAUGAAAUGACCCACUCAAACUUUAUUUUCCCGUGAAAUGAAUAUAAAAGACAGAAAAAAUGUACAGAACUUAUUUUAUUUAAACUAUAAAUUAUUUUAAAUUUUUAAUUAUUAUUUAAUUUUUUAAUUUAUUUGAUUUGAAUCAGUUAAUGAUAUUUUGACUUUAAAAUUCAAGGUAAACUUUAAAUAUCACUCAUAUGGUUUCGUACUUUCUCACUGUAGUAUCAUGUGGUUUAAAAUGUAUCAAUUUAGUACCAUAUGGUUUUUUUUUUUUUUUCAUUAGCUUUUUUGUUCACAUUUCGUUAAAAGCCCCAUCUAGAUUUAUUAAAUAUUUACUUUAGUACCUUUUAGAUUUAACCUUGUUGGUUAUUUAACAAAAAAAUUAGUUGAGGAGAUAAUAAAAAGAGAAAAAUAAAAUCACGAAGUAUUAAAUUGAUACAUUUUAAACCAUUAGAUAUUAAAAUAAAAAAAUACGAAACCACAAGAGAUGAUAUUUGAAAUUUUUUCUAAAAUUUCAAAAAUAUACUAACUAAAUAUAUAAAAAUAAUUACACGGUACAAUACUAUUUCAAUACUAUUACAUUAGCAACACCACUUUAUAUUGUAGAACAAAGUUAUGAUAAUUUAAAAGUUUUGAACUAUAAAUUAUAAUAAAUUAAAAUUUAAAAAUUAAAUUAAAAUUUAAGAACUAAAAUAUUACGCGGCUCACAAUUUGAGGACCACCAAUGUUAUUAAGCCAAAAUUAAUUGGAAUGAGUUCCUCUAUAUGCUCAUUUAUUUUUGAUACUAUGCAUAUAUAUUGUGAUAUCCCUGGUAUUUAGCAGGAGAGGCUUGUCGACAGCUCUGGAGAGUGUCGGGACAAGUCCGAGUCACGUUGGCGCAAAGUAGACGCAAAACGGACUCAGCGGAGACGCGAGAGCAGGAUUUGGCAUUUGAAAUCUGCAAAUAGCAGAUUUUCUGCUUAUUGUACCGGUACAGCAUCAGGGGUGUACCGGUACACAUUUUGUACCGGUACAGNAAAAUAUUAAGCCCAUGGUGAACUAAAACCUAAAAUAGGGGGAGAUGAAUGGACACAUACAUGGCUAAGAGAACAUAGAGAAUGUAAUAUAAAUGGAGUAUUAAUAUACAUCGGGUGAAUGUAAUAGUCAUUUAUUGCUCCAAUCAAUUUUAACAAGAUAAAAAUAUCUCACUUUUUUCGACGUCUAAAAUAAGUCCUCCAACUUUAAAAUUUUAGUUAAAAAAUUAAUUGAGCCCUCUAACUUUUAACAAUUUAGUUAAAAAAAUUUAUUUCCAAAAUAGCUACAAAAACUAUUAAAUUUGAUUGGAUUUUUAAAUAAAGUUAUUAAAAUAAUUUAACUCUUCAAAUACUAAAAGUUAAAAAAUAUUAAUAAAAAAUAAUUUUUAUAAUAUUCAUAAGAAUACUUUAUAAUUUUUUAUUAUAAUUUUUUAAUUUUAAAAUUAAUCAUUAUAUUUUUAAUUAAUUAAAAUAUAAUUUAUUUACUGUAUAGCGCGGACCAUACACUAGUAAAAUUUAGUUUCUAGUAACUUUGAAUACUCUCAACGUAAGCGAAUAACUAGAAGUCAAAUAUUCUAUAAAUGAAAAUAAAGUAAAUGUGGACAAGACCUUUCAAUUUUUCUUUUUUUUGAGAGAUAGGUAGCACGCUACCCGUUUUAUUUAUUUUAUUUAGAAAUAAACUUAAGUAGAAAUGUGAAUCAACAAGGAUUCAAACUUGGGUCUCGAAUAUCAACCAACAAAUCUUUUACCACUUGCUCUAGGGACGGUCGGUGACCUUUCAAUUUUUAUUCACAAAAUUGGAGAAAUAGGGUUUGGUUGAGGCAACAAUUUCUCCCACUUAUUAGGAGGAAAAGUUGACACAUUUGGCCAGGUAUUGAUAGGACUUAUUAUUAUUAUUAUUAUUAUUAUUAUUGAUUGUUGAUUCUCCUGACUUUGUAGGUCAUCUAGAAGAUAGACCUCUACAUUUACUUUUGACAAUAAAUAAAUUUAAAUAUUUAUUAUUUUAUAAUUAUUUUUAUAAAUUUUAAAAUUUUUUAAUUAAAAUAUCAAUUUAAAUAAAAAUAACUUAUUGUUUAUAUUUUUAGAUUAUAUAUAUAUUUUUUAAAAAAAUUAUAAAAAUACGCCCGGCCCGGAACAGCCCGUGCCUUUCGGGCGAGAGGCCGUGCUCGGCCAGAGGCUAGGGAGCUUGGGCCCAGCACGGCUCGGCCUUGAUUUGAUGUCGGGUCGGCCCGGGCUUGUCCCUAGUCUGUUUCGGCCCGGAUAAAUGUGGGUCGUGCCGGUCCAGGCGUCCAGCACGAUCCACAUUACGCCCCUAAUUUAGUGUUCGAGUUUAUGAAAAUACACAACUCAAUUAAUAAGCUGAACUGAAAAUACCGUUGAGUUUGGUAAUUUUUACAAUUGGCGUGAGAAAUUUUUAAAUGGCCGUAACUUUUCAUUCGAGUAUCCGAUUUUACUGUACAACUUCAAUUCAUGAAACACUUUUCAAGGUCGACGCAUCAAAUUGUGCGGCUAUUUUUGCCGAGUUCGGAACCCAAAUUCAUUUGCUUUGGCCUCUAUUUUUUACAUUUUUAGAUUAUUUUAAAAAAAUUCUAUAUUUUUUUAUUUGAUUAUUUCUAAUCUGAUUAGGUUUAAAGAUAUAUUGAAAUUUAUUAUCUUCGUCUCGUAGGAUUCGAAUAUCGCCUCCAUAUUAGACACGACGUUCAGUUAAUAUAAUUAAUAAUAGUUCAUCUUUGUCGAAAAAUUAGUUCUUCGCGUAUCAUCUUUUUCCGUCCGUAUGCUUCUUCUCUCUCAGUGCGGUUUUGAUCAGCAUCAGUUUAGAAGAUCUAAUUGCGAAAUUGAAAGCUCAAGUUUAUUUGUAAAAGAAAUAGAAAGAUAAAAAAGCGCAGCGCAGAACAAGCCCAAAUCCGAACACAGAAUCAGGGUCCACCCUAGAAGAUAUUAAGCCCAUGGUGAACUAAAACCUAAAAUAGGGGAGAUGAAUGGACAUAUGGCCCAGAGAACAUAGAGAAUGUAAACAAAAUAAAGGCCGAGAAAAGAAUAAUGUUGUGGGUAUUAGAUGUUUUCAAUGUCAACCAAAACGUGAACUAACAACAGCUAUAUACGAGCUUUAUAGUUAGUAUUUGAAAUUCUAAGUUUAAAAUCUAAUUAUUUCACAUUAUUAGUUGAGUUCUUUUUUGAAGAAACGAAAGAAGUGAAACUCAGUGUUUGCUAUCGCUUGUAUUUUUGACAAAAGAGAUUACAUUUCUUAUCAAAAUUUUCUUUCCAUUUUAGAAGGAUGUGUGCUAGCUAUUAAAAUGAGCUUUUGCUUGGAAUAAUUGAAAGAUAUCUCUUUUCAAAUGGUAACAUCUAAUUCCCUCCUUCAGCGUAUUCAGAUAUUCAAAAGAGAGAAAAAAAAAAAAAAAAACUUGGAUUGUGUUAAGAUUAUUUUUCAGUCAACAACAACCUUAGUGAUUGGCCACGAAAUGAACUAAUUUGAUACAUUUCUAAAAAUAAGAGUGGAUGAAGCCCAGAUACUACUACUACAAGUGCAAUUUACUCUUAAACAAUAUAUUAUUUAGAAGUCUUUCAAAAAAUUCGUUUUUGUGUUUUGUUUUGUUUUUUUCUAUUCUUAGUACUCUCACAUUCAUCGUUCCUUCUCUACCUUCAAUCCGUCGCCAAUUUACUAUGAACUGAGAAAAAGAAGGAGAACGGGCGAAACGGAAGAAACACGUAUCGGACGCAAACAGCGUCCUUCCACCACCACCUACGGCACCUAUGGCUGCUGCCACCGCCACCACUCUCAUCCUCCUCGUCGUCCUCCACCGCCACCUAGCUGUUUCUGCCGCCGCGGCUCCGUCCCCCGACGCCGCGGCCCUCCUCCUCCUCAAGGACUCCUUGGGCAACGCCACCGCCCUCUCCGCCUGGUCCCUCUCCGCCGAGUCCCCCCCCUGCGGUCCCCCCUCCCCCUGGCCCGGCGUCGUCUGCUUCCACGGCAUCCUCACCGGCCUCCGCCUCUCCGGCAUGGGCCUCUCCGGCUCCCCCGACCUCGACGCGCUCUCCCGCCUCCCCGGCCUCCGCACUCUCUCCCUCUCCUCCAACUCCCUCUCCGGCCCCCUCCCCGCCUUCAACCGCCGCCUCCCUGCCCUCAAAUCUCUCUACCUCUCCGGCAACCGCUUCUCUGGCCCCCUCCCCGACGACUUCUUCGUCGGCCUCGCCCACCUCAAGAAGCUCUGGCUCAACGCCAACGCAUUCACCGGACCCGUCCCUUCCUCCCUCACACGCGCCACCAGCCUCAUCGAGCUGCACCUCGAGGACAACGGCUUCACCGGGCAGCUCCCUCCCGACCCCCCCGCCGCGCUGUCGGAGUUCAACGCCUCCCACAACGACCUCGAGGGCCCCGUCCCCGCGAGCUUCGAAAAGUUCGGCGCGGGCGCGUUCGGAGGGAACGCGUACCUCUGCUACGGCGCCGACGACAAAAAACCAUGCAAGAAACCAGAGCCGGAGCCGGAGGCGACCCUCGGGGAGAAGGUGGCGAUGGCGAUGGUGGUGCUGCUUCUCGCGGCGGCCACGGCGGCCGUCUGCUUGAGGACGUGCCGGAAGCAGCGCGUGCGGGCGUUCGACACGCUCGGCGUCGACAACGGCGCGGUCGAGAGCGGCGACGAGAAGAGAGGCGUGCGCGACGGCGGCGGCGGCACUGACGCCGUCGUCGACGCGGCGAAAGGGUCGAGCCAUCAUAAUAAUAGUAAAAAGAGCGCCGUAGCGGACAGCGUCGUAUCAGCGCCAGCGGAUGGCGGAGGAGGAGGAGGAGGAGGGGCUGCAGGUAAUGUCGGGGGUGGUGGUGGUGGUUUGGGGAGUGGUGAUUUGGUGAUGGUGAACGAGGGGAAGGGGAGGUUCGGGCUGGCGGACCUGAUGAAGGCGGCGGCGGAGGUGCUGGGGAGCGGGGGGCUGGGGUCGGCGUACAAGGCGGUGAUGAAGCGCGGGGCGGGGGCGGCGGGGUCGGUGAAACGGAAUGCGCGACAUGAACCGGGUGGGGAAGGAGACGUUCGACGUCGAGAUGCGCCGCUCGGCCGCUGCGCCACCCAAACUGCUGCGCCGCUGGCGUUCACUACCGCGAAGAGAGAAGCUGCUCGUCUACGAAUACAUUCCAAAGGAGCUUGCUCUACGUUCUUCAUGGGACAUUUUUUUCCUUUUCUUUUCUUUCCUUUUUUUUUUUUUUUUUUUGGUCUUUUUAAGUAUAAGUGUAUAAAACAUGAUCUAUGGAUCCGUUUGAGCCGACUCUCGGGUGUUUUAAAAUUUUGAUUUUACAAAUCAAUCUUUUAAUUUGACAUUUUGACUUUAAAAUUUGAUUACAUUGUUUGUCUUUACAUGUCCAAUUAAUAUAUUUCAUACAAUUCUCAUAUCUAUAAUAACUAAUCAUUCCUAACGCAAGUGGUAAAGGAAUUGAUGGAUAUGGUAUCUGAUAUCUCAAAUUUGAAUCGUAGUUGAUUCAUAUUUUCAGCUAAAUUUAUUUAUUUUUAAAAAAAAUAAACAAAGCGGAUAGUAUGCUACCUUUCUCUAAAAAAAAAAUAAAUUUAAAAUCAAAAUGCUGUUUACUCACUCGAAUUAGAGAAAUUAAAAGAUUGAAUAGUAAAUUUAAAAUUUUGGAAGAUAAGAUAGUCGAUGUAAAUGGUCUAUAGUUCAGAUAAAUUAUUUAUAGAAUUUAUCUCAGCUAUUAUCUAUUUUGAUUUUACUAUCUAAUCUUUGAAAAUUUUAAUUUUGCUUUCUAAAUUUUUAAUUUAUCUGAUUUCAGCCAUUUAAUAUUCUUUAACUUUAAAUUUUGAAUAUAUUGCUUAUUUUUACGACUUUAAUUAUUAAUAUAUUUUAUAAAAUUUAUAUAAUUAUAAAUUUAUUUGAGGUAAGUAAUUAGUUUAAAUUUUAUGAUAAAAGAGUCGUCAAAUAAUUUAAAUUAAACAACCUAAAAGAUUGGAUGCUAAAAUAAAAAUUUUGAUAAGUGAGAUAGUCAGAAUCAAAAUAAGCUAUGCACAUUUUAAUCUUUUUUUUUUUUUUUUUAAGAGAGAAAGAUCAUAAAGCUAUCCACUUUGUUCAUUUUUUUUUAAAAAAAUAAAUUUAACUAAAAAUAUAUAACAUAUUUUUCUCAUAUUUUUAAUUGAAUUAAUGAAACAGUUAUAACUUGAUUUCAGAAUGUGUAACUUGAAUGAAAAUAAUUAAAUUUUUAGGUACAAUUAAAUAAAAAGUAGCCGCAGUGUCUAUAUUUCAAAAUGGCCUAAUAUUUGUGCUUAAUUGGUUCCAUAAAUCUUUGUUGCAUGUUGACAUUGUAGCAUUAGCUGGAUUAAGAGCCUCCAACACAAGUUAUAACAUCUCCAUUUCAUUUGACUUUGACUAAAUGUUAGUGAAAGCAAGUUUAAGUGAAACAUUGUAAUUUAAAUUUAAUUUGUAUCGGAAAAAUUUUCAUACCGAAUAAAUUAUUAUUGAAGUUUUAAUGGUCCAACCUCGCAGGCGAUCGAGGGAUGGACCACGCGGCCCUGGACUGGCCGACGCGGCUGCGGAUCGCGCGGGGGAUCGCGCGGGGGAUGGCGUACCUCCACUCCGAGCUCUCGUCGGCCGACAUCCCCCACGGCAACCUCAAGUCCGGCAACGUCCUCCUCUCGCCGGACUUCGAGCCCCUCCUCGUCGACUACGGCUUCCUCCCCCUCGUCAACCCCUCCCUCGCCUCCGCCGCCAUGUUCGCCUACCGCUCCCCGGAGUCCCUCGGCCACCACCACGUCUCCGCCAAGUCCGACGUCUACUGCCUCGGCAUCCUCCUCCUCGAGCUGCUCACCGGCAAAUUCCCCUCGCAGUACCUGCACAACGCGAAAGGCGGGACCGACCUCGUCCUCUGGGCCACCACCGUCGCUGCGGAGGAUCGGGAGGAGGAGCUGCUGGACCCGGCCAUCGUGACGGCGGCGAUGAAGGCGGCGGUGCCCGACAUGAAGCGGCUGCUGCGCGUCGGCAUCGACUGCAUCGAGCCGGAGCCCGAUAGGCGGCCCGACAUGAAGGAGGCGGCGGCGAGGAUCGAGGAGGUGGCGGCUGCCGUCGAGGCGCUCAAGGCGGCCAGGGUGGCGCCGGCGAAGGACGGGCUGCAGCCGGCAUCGGCGCCGGCCUCCCAUGCGGCGUACGUGAGGGACGGGCUCGGGGAGCGGUCGGCCCGCCGGGGAGGGAGCAUCGGCGAGCGGUCGGCCCGCCGGGGAGGGAGCAUCGGCGAGCGGUCGGCUCGCCGGAGCGAUGAUAACUUCUCGUUCGCCAUCUCAUGAUGGCGAUCACUGCGCCAACGACACCGGGCUAUAGUGGGCAAAUCGAUCAUACAGUACGGUACGUAUCUCUCGACAAAUCGUGUGAACUUUAGCUAGUUUGUAAAUAGACGUGUGAACUUAUAAUUUUGCGGUUUCCAAGUUCCAACAGCAUGCUUUGCCCCCUUAAGAUUUGUUCGGAUAUAAAUAAGAACCGUCUAUUUUCGAAAUAGAUAUAAAUUCAUAUAAAAGUAAGAAUUAAAUCGAUUUUAAGUUUGAAUAAAAAUUAGAUUAUUUUUGAAAAUAGAAAAAAUAAUAUUUGUAUAGAUAGAUAAGAUAGAAAAAGAAUGAUAGUUGGUGGUAAUAAAUAAAAAAUGAUAAUAUUACCCACUCAUUAUAUUUGAAUUUGAAUUUUUAAUUUCAUAUUUAUAUUUUUAAAUUUAAAAUUUUAAUUUUAAAAUUUUAAAUUUAAAAUUUAUAAUUUAAAUUUUAAAAUUUGAAAUCUCAAAAAUUUAAAUUCAAAAUUAUAAAUUUUAAAUUUCAAACUUUAAAUUUAAGAUCAAAUUUAAAUUUAAAAAAUAUAAACUAUCAAAUUUUAAAUUUUAAAUUUUAAAAUUUUAAAAUAAGAAUAGGAAUGGGGACAAUUAAUAAAAAUAAUUUAUUAUAAUAAAUUUAUAAAUUUGAUAAAAAUAAAUUUUUUAAUAAAUUUAUAAAUUUUUUAAAAAUUCUACUUAAACUUAAACUUAAUAAAAGUAAUUUAUUAUAAUAUUUAAAUAUAAAUAAUAUGUAUUAAUAUAGUACAAUUAAGAAUUUUAUAAUAAAAAUAAUAUAUUAUAUUUAUAUAAUUUAAUUUUAAUUCAAUUUAUAAUUUUAAUAAAGUUUGAAACUAUAAAUUGGAAUAGCACUAUUACACCAAAAUGGUGGAAUAGUAAAUCCCAAACUAUUUCGAGAUAGUCGGGAAUAGCGAGAUUUGACCAGAAUAAAAUAUUUCAAUUAUAAAUCAUCUUGUUUGGCAGAAUAGCGGGAGCUGAACCAAAUGGGGCCUUAAAAAAGUUUUUACCUUUGUUACACCGAAUCGGGCCAAUGAUUGUAGCCCAAAAUUGGAGCCCAAAAAUGUGAGAUCCUACUUCAAGUACAAUUAAAUUUUGAUGAUCGGUAUCUGAGAUUCUAAAUUCGAACUUUUAAGCGAUUUGUAAUUUUUAAUCAAUUAUGAGCUAAUACUCAUAACUAGGAUAAGCUUACGUCAAAAUUUAAUACUUUCAAGCAAACUCUUUGGAGAAAUUUAUUAAAAAUAAAAGGAAUGUAAAGUUAAGUAGUCAUUAAUCAAAAUUUUUGAAGUUUGGAUAUUCAUUUCAAAAUACGCUAUAUGAUUUGGACGAAAAAUAACUAGACUUUUUUUUUUUUUUUAACUUUAGAUUUUUUUAUUUCUCUUUGUAGGCCUGUGAUAAUACAAAGUAGAGAGAAACACUGGACAUGGAGAGGAGGAACAAUAGAUAAUUAAGCAGCAGUAAAUAUGCAUGGAGGUCCACAACUAUAUUCAAUUGUGAAAUUACCCCCUCAACUUUAAUUUUUUUUUCUUAUCGAAUCCUUCUUGAGUUUUGAUUUUUCUUUUCAGAAUUAAAGGAUUUUAGAGAAAGAAACUUGGGUAUUUUUCAAAUGCAAUGAUGAUUUUGUCAAAUUUAAUAGCUUUAAAUUUCUAUUUAACAAAGUCAUUAUAUUUGAUAAAACUCGAAUGGAAAAAAUUAGAAGUUGAGAAAGUUUCAAUUAAAAGAAAAAAAAAGGGGUGUAUUUCAAAAUCGCGUAAAGUUGAGGGGCUCUUCAUAACUUGCAUACCGAGGAGACGUGGUAGGGGCUCUUUUAUUGCUUUGUUACAAUUUAUUUACUACGCGAAAAGCCAAAAAAUGGGCUUCUAUUGAAGUUAUGAGAUGAGAUGUUAUAAACUUUAAACAUUUAGUGAUUUUCUUUUUUCCCUUUUGUUUAAAAAUUAUGUAUAUGAUAAGCAAGAAACUGUGAUUUUAGAUCUUCUCAUGUUUGGUUAUUGAAUUGAUGAUGAGGAUUGUGAGUUUCCUCUGCAUGCUUGGUCGAUUAAUUAAUGUGUUUCAUUUCACUUUUUUGGUGUGUUUUUCUUAAUUUUAUGGUGAAAUUUUGAUUAGUUAAGUAAUGCGUGCCCCGACUAAACAAUAAUAUUUAGAAAGUCUUUCUUUGUCAUUUCAAUAUGAUUGAGAGCUAGUUUUGUACACAUGACAAUUAAAUUUCGAUAAGUUGAUAUUCAAAUGUAUCAAAUCAUAACCGUAAUUUUGAAUUCUUAUAAAUACUCUCUCCAACUAUUGCCAAUUAGAACUGAUCAUAUUUAAUGUUUUAGAAAUCAAGUCGAAAUCGGGUUGACACCGACGGAAUGUUAUUGAGUCCAGGGCAUUAGUCAAACCAAUAAUUAAACACUCACAUCACAUAAAUCAUAAAUAUUUAAUUUAUUAUUUUAAUUUUAUUAAUAUAUAUAUAUAUAUUAUAUAAUAUAUUAUUAUAAUAUAUAUAUUUAUAUAUAUAUAUAUAUAUAUAUUAUGAAUCUACCUAUUAUCCUUUUAAAAGGACAGAGACCUUCGUUUUAUCAAGUCGUUUUUGAUAAUAGAAAUUCUGAAUUGAUGAUUGAAAUAGUUAAAGUCGAUCUAGAGUAUAGAAGUGUCUAAAAACUAAAUUACAUAAUUUUUAGCAAUUAUUUACAUAACGAUCAAAGAUUUGUAAAAUCGAUAGUUCCCAUAUAAGCCGUUUGCUGGUUUGACGGUAUUGAGCAAUCCAAACCGCUUGAAUUUUAGAUAAAAAAUAUUUUAUACUAUUUGAAUAACGUUUGAUAACUCCGAUCAUAAACUGAGAAAGUCUAAUCUCUAUUUUCAGAAGAUUAUUCGUUUUUGAUUGAUCAUUCAUUUUUUGAUUCUUUCAAUAAACUUGAUAAUGAUUUUUAAAACUUAUAAAAUUUUGUUUCUGAAUAUUUUUAAUAGUGUAGAUCAAUUUCAACGGUGCCGAUUAUCAAUUUGGAGCUUCGAUCAUCCAAAAUGACUUGAUCAGAUAAAGACUUAUAUUUUCUUAUAUUCUCUUAAGAUGAUAGUAGCUGUACUCCAUAUAUUAUUAUUCAAGUACAAUACUUAAUUCUAAAAUACUGAUUUUAAGAUCAAACCGAGUAUAUUGAAGUUAUUUAGGUUUUACUUUUUAUAAGAUUUAUUUGUGCUAAUAGAAAAUAAAAUCAGCUAAGUUAAUUUUAAGUCGUCGAAUUUAAACAUGACUGUUUUUUUGGUUCAGAGCAGUUUUAUAACUUACCCAGUUCAAAGGAUUGAAGUGAACCGCUAUGCAGACUAAAUCACGGCUAAGCCGGUCAAGCAGACCAGUUCGACCUGAUUUUUAAACCAUUAUCAGUUUAAAAACAGAUUCAGCUACAACAGUUGAGCCUCCUUAUAUUGUUAAAGCUACAAUAACUAAGUUCAAGCGCAUCAGAUGAAACACGUGUUUUGAUUUAUGGUACAGUUAUAAUUAUAUACAACCAAACACUGACUACCAAAGUCAACCAAUUUUUCCUUGCAGCGAUCCACGUCAGCGAAAGCUGACAUUUGCCUUUGACUAAAGCACAAAGGAAUCCAAAAUUUGUGGGUGAAUAAUAAUAUCGCAACGGCUAUUUUAAAGUGACCAAUUAAUCCACACUAUUCAUGAUAAGCUUGCAUGCUUGACAAGUACCUAUUAAAAAUUAUUAUUACGGUAGUGUUACUAUUUAAAAAAAGGGAUAAUUCCCUAUAUAUCCUUGAUAUGUUUAAAAAUAUCUGAUUUAUUCAUUUUUUUUUCUUUUUAAAAUAACUCUUGUAUGUUCCACCGUUACUGAAAAAUACCCCCACAGCUAUUUUCUGUUAAGUUAAUUUCGAUUAAACGUGAGUUAAAUAUCUACCACAGUUAAAAAAAAUUAAAAUACUAAUUUUGCCUUUAACUUCAGGGCAAAUAAGUAAUGUUGGUGACGGUAGAGAAGUAUAUUGGAAAAGACCAAAAAUCAAAAUUCUUUUUGUGCCCCUGACAUUAAGGGCAAAUAAGAAAGUCAGUGAUAGUGGAAGAAUAUAUUUGAAAGGGUAAAAUAAUAAUUUUAUAGAGAUAACAGAAUUCAUUAAUAGAUUUUAAUUCUAGGGGUAUAUUAGAAAUAGGUUGGAACGUAGAAAGGGUAUUUUCAAUAUUAGUCUUCUAAGAGGGGUAAAUCGGAAAGUCAGAAACUUUUCAGGAGUAUAUAAGUAAUUGCCCCUUUAAAGAAUGGGACUUUCUGAUUUAUCCUUCUUAGAAGACUAUUAAAAAUAUCUUUUGUACAUUCCACCAUAUUUCAAAUAUAUCUCUGAAGUUAAAUUCUAUUAAUAAACGGUUAGCAAUAACUGUUAUUUUUAUGAAAUUACUAUUUUGCCCUUUUAAAUAUAUCCUUCUUCACUAACAUAUUUUAUUUACCUUUAAAAUAAAGAUAAAAAAGGUAUUUUGAUUUUUUUCAAAUUUAGUAGAUGUUUAACUCACAUUUAAUCUAAGUUAACUUAACGGAUGAUAACUGUAUGAAUAUUUUGAAAUAACAUAGGUACAUAUAAAAAAUAUAUUGGAAAGAAAAAAAUAAAAAAGAAGAAGAGCCUCCUAAUAAAGAGACGAUCUAAUAAUCGUUUAUUUAUGCAAUAUAUAAAAGAGCGAAUAAAAUUUUUGAGCCUGUAAAUUUUCUUUUGAAAAUAUCUCUUUCUUUAGAUAUUUAUUUAUAUUUAAAUAUUUUUCUAAAUUUUUUGAAUUUAAAUUAAUCAACUAUAACUUUUACUAAUUUUUUGCUAAAUUAGAUAAAUUAAUCAGCUAUAAUCAACUAUAAGUAAUAUUAUUUUAUAUUUUAAUUUUUUCUACAAUGUCUAAUCAUCAAGUAGUGAUGAACCAUUCAUGCAGAGUCUCUUCUUUUAAAAUACCUACCAACUUGGGCCACUUCAAAGGAAAGGAGUGACCUUUUUUUUUUUUUUUUUUUUUUUUUUUUUUUUUUUUUUUUUUUUUUUUUUAAAGCAGGGUGUUGGAACCAUAGUUAAUUCAGAUUCUGCAAAAAUUCGAUACGGGUAUAAUAUGUAGAAAAUUUAUUUUUCAAUUUUUAAAUUUAUUGAAAAUUUUGGUUUCAAAAAUAGAUUCGGUAUAAAAUAUAAAAUAUAAAAUAUAAGAUAAUCUAUAUUUAAAUAUAAAAAUUAUAAAUUUGUUAUUUAGAUUUUCAAUAAUUCUAAAAUAAUUCGCAAGUAAUUCGAUAAUUAUUUAGCUGUUCCAAAAAUUUGCGAAUAAUUUUAUUUCUUUGAAAAAAAUUCAUAAAUGGACCGUUUAAUUCAGAUUUUCAAUAAUUAGUGAAUAAUUCUCGAAUUAACUAACAAAGGUUGGAACUCCCAACACCUUAAAGCGCCCCCUACAUAAAAUAAUGGUUUUUUUUUUAUAAAAGGUUAAAUAAUGAGACAACAAUUUAUUAGUUUAAUUCAGGUUAAAAUUUACAAAGAUCCACUCAUUUAUACGCCACUUUAUUUUUUUUUAAUUGAGACAUUCUCACUUUCCAUGUAGUUGGAUUUGAGUUACUUUUCUAAAUUGAGUUGAUAAUUUAUCAAAAUUAAUAACUCUGUUAGCUAUCACUGAGAAAAAAAACUAUAGUUUUCUAAGCUAAAAAAUAGUUCAAAUUUUAGAAAAAUAUGUAAAAUCGACAUUAAAUUUAAUAAAAACUUUAAAUUUAUGUAACAAGGAAUCUUAGGUUAAAAAGGAUCAUUGAGGAAGAGAUAUACAAAAAAGAAAAUUUCAAGGGGUCGUUUUCAUGCACAUUUUCACCUAUAAUUUGUAUACAAUUUAAGCAUUGUUUGACCAAUUAAUUAAUUAAUAUUAAAACCCUCCAAUCUAAUAAAUUUUCUAGCACAUGUUUUGACUCUGUAGAUUUCACGGCUGCUACCUAAAACUGUCCUUUCCAUGAAAAUUUGCAUAGAAGUCCCUCAACUAAGGACAAAUUGAUAUAUCCAUUGUGCAAAUUACAAAGAAAUUAAUUAUAAGAGAAAUUAAUUAUAAGAGUCUUGUAUCAACUUCCAAAGCUUUUAUUUUGAGUUAAGAGUGAAACUAGCCAAAAUUUUACUUCAAUUUGUGUAUAAAUAAUUGUAGCUUGUGAGUGGUAUUUGAUUUUUAAAUGUUUAUAUCUAUUUAAUAAGCAUUGUGUGUCCGUGUCAGAGACCCAAGUGUCUACGUUGGACUCGUGUCCUACGCGGACAUGUCAUGAACGCGCGUUCGAUGCAGGUCCAUAGCGUAUCUCAUUAAAAAUAUAUAUAUUUUUAUUUUACUAUCUUUGAUGCGUAUAUAAUAUAAAAUAAUAAAUAUUUUAAUUUUUUGAUGAAUACAUAUAAUUUUUUUAGAUAAUAUAAAUAAAUUAUGUAUGGUGAAUUUUUUUAAAAUAUUUGAAUUAUCAAUGAGAAUUUUACUUACGUUCAUUCGUAUGAAAAAUAUACCAAUAUUUUAGCAAACAUAAUACUUUAUAUAUAAUAAAUAUAUACUAUUAUAUUAAUAUUAGCGAUGCACAUACUGGGCGUGUUUGGUUCGAAGUCGGAAUCAGAAUCGGAAUCGGAAUCGAAAUCGAAAUAAGCUGGAAUCGGAAUUGGAAUGACUUAUUACCUAAUUCUGUUUGGUUCAUCACCUGAAUCGGAAUCGGAAUAAAUCAUUUUCAUUGUCGGUGUUUGUUUCAGAUAAAUAUAAAAAACGUAAUCAGAUUAAUAUAUUAACUUUAUCUUUAUAAUAUAUUAAUUUAAAUUUAAAUUAAAAAUUAAAUAUUAAAAUUUUACAUCAAAAUUUUGAAAUGAUGUCAAAAUUUUAAAUCUAUUUUUUAAAAAAAAUUAAACUUUGAAGAGAGUGGAUAAUUCGAAAUAUAAAACUAAAUUUCGAUUUAUUCAUAUUCAAACUUAAAAUUACAAUUUAAAUUUUAAUUUGAAUCCAUAAAUUUAAUUUAAGUUUUAAAUAAAAUUUGAAUAAAACUUUAUAUAAAUUUAAAUUUAAAAUUCAUAAGUUAGAUUCGAAAUACUUGAUUAAAUUUUAAUUUUUAAUUCAAGUUCAAAUUAAAAUUUAAAAUUUAAAAUUAAAUUUCUAAAUUUAAACUCAUAUUUUAAUUAAAAAAAUUAAAAAAAUAAAUUUAAUCCGAAUAAAUAUCCAUUCCGUCCGGAUUCAACUUUCAAUCCGGCUUUCUAGGCCGGAUUGAAAAAAGGGGUGAUUGGGGAAAUUCUCAUUGCACUCGGGAAUCGGAAUUGGAAUGGAACUUCCGCAUACCAAACACACACAAAUGGAUUAAUCCAUUCCGAUUCCAAUUUUAGAGUGAAAAAGAAGCGGACCAAACACGCCCACUGUGUCUGUAUUCUAAUUUUUCUAAAACAGUUAAGUCUGAAUCGUGUCGUGUCCCGUGCUCUGUAUCUGUAUCGUGACGCCUAGAUUUAUAUUUGUUUUUUGUUUUGUUUUAAAUACCUAGACAAAUUUAGUAGUGUAUUCAAGUCAUCUGACAUUCAUACAUAUACAAAAUAAGUAACUAAAAUUUAAAGCUUGGUGGCUGAUUGAAGUGAAUUGAAGAUAAAAUUGAAGCCAGUAGAAUUUUAGUUAAAUUAGAAUAAAUAUUUAAAUUUAUCAAAAAUAAAUUUAUUAGAUAAAUUUAAAUUAUUAAUUAGAAUAGAAAUUCAAUUGAGCUGCGGUUGGGUCACGUUUAGUUAAGCUUUAUAUAUGUGGCAUCUUGGUAGACUAAUUAGUGUUGAAGCCUGGCUGGCAUAGUACGGCAAAGUAGAAUGCUCGAGUGCUGAAAGCUUCAGAGAAGGUGCGGCCUCAUUGUGAAGCUUCAGAGAAGGUGCAGAAAGCCUGGUUGCAUGUUGGCUUAAAUAGAUCAGUAUCUUACUUCUAGCACAAGAUAAGAUUUGAUUGCGUCAUAUUCGAUAUGGCGUGAGGUCGAGUUGGGCCGAGUCAUAUUCGAAGUGGUGUGAGGCUGGUAGGAUUUAGUCGCAAUCCAGAUCCACAUGCGUUAUGUCUGUACACUUUAAGUGAAUUAGUUGUAUCUUUCUAAUAGCUCGAACUUUUAGGAUUAAUGGUUAGCGCCAACAAUCCGACAGUGCACCACAAGAGCGAAAAGAGAAGAGAAAGAUGGAAGAGAUUCAGAAAGAAAGUUCGAGUUGAGACUGUGUCGUUCUUUGUUGAGGCGACAAAUUUAUGAUAAAAUUUAAUUUGAUGUUUCCGUUAUCAGUACCGAAUUACAGUAACCGAUAUCAGAGUAGGUUACGAAUUCUCCUCUCAAGAUCCUAUAUCAUAUAGCAAGUACCAGACGGACCAGACAUGAACAGCUUAGGGGUUUGAUGACCGCACGUAAAAUCAAAAACCGGAUGCGCGGAGUCUCUGGAGCCGUACAAAUUGUGAUCACUAGUCCACGAAAACAAACCAAGCCCAGCCAAUGUUUAAAGAAUCUUUUUUAUUUGCUUUUUUUUUUUUGGAAAAACUUCAAAUAUCUCUAUGUGGUUUCGCAUUUUCUCACUUUAGUAUCCUGUGGUUUAAAAUAUACCAAGUUAAUACUCUGUGGUUUCGCACAUUCUCACUUUAGUACUCUGUGGUUUCAAGUUUAUCAAGGUAGUACAUGUGGUUUUAUUUUUGUAUCAAGUUAGUACUAUGUGGUUUUAAUUUUCUCUUUUUAUUAUUCAUUUUGAGGUAUAUAAUUUAACAAAAUAUUAAACCACAGGGUACUAAAGUGAGAAAGUGCGAAACCACAGGGUAUUAACUUAAUACACUUGAAAUCACAGGGUAUUAAAGUGAGAAAGUGCGAAACCACAUAGUACUAACUGGAUACAUUUUAAACCACAGGGUACUAAAGUGAAAAAAUACGAAACCACAGGACGGGUAUUUGAAGUUUCCCCUUUAAUUUAAGUCAGUUAAUAACACUUUCAAUUUAAAAUUUAAAUUAAUUUUUUAGUUUAAUAAAUUUAUAAUUAUGAGAGUUGCAUGAAAUAUAUUAAUUAAACUUAUAAAGAAAAACAGCGCAUUUGGAUUUUAAAGUUAAAGUAUUAUUGAUUAACUUGAAUCAAACAAAGUAGAAAAGAUGGCUAGUAAGAUCAAAUUUUGAAAAUUUGGUUGGUUAAUCGAUUCAAAAUAGUUUAUAAUUCAGAUAAAUUUCAUGUGUUUUUACCUAAAUAUUUUUUUUUUUAUAAAGAUAAGAAAUUUAGUGUAAUAGAAAGUCACAAUAUUUCUUUUGUAGCGACCUAGCGCAGAAUAUUUUCUCUCUCCGAGUGAAAAAAAAAGAGAGAAAAAAANAAACCACAGGGUAUUAACUUAAUACACUUGAAAUCACAGGGUAUUAAAGUGAGAAAGUGCGAAACCACAUAGUACUAACUGGAUACAUUUUAAACCAUAGGGUCCCCCCCCCCUUUUUUUUUUUUGAGAAAGAUAGUUAACACGUUAUCCGCUUCGUUUAUUUCAUUUAGAAAUAAACUUAGCUGAAAAUAUGAAUCAACUAGAAUUCAAACUUGGGAUCUCGAGUACCAAUCAUCAAGCCUUUUAUCACUUACUCUAGCGACGGUCGGUAAUGUUUAAAAAAUCUUAGGAUAACAAAUAUUGGGAUAAAUUUUUUUAUUCUGGAAUAGCUUUUCAUUUUGGAAUAGUUAGGAAUAAAAGUGAAAUUAUGUUCGGUUUGUGAUGUUAGUAUUUAUAGACAUAAUUAAAAUUAUGUUUAGUUAAUUUUAUGGAAUAGUAGAGAAUAGUAGAAAAAAAUUAUAAUUUGAAUUUGGUAUAAAAUAUAAUUUAAUAAAAAUAAUUUCUUAUAAAAUAAUUAUUGUAAAAAUAAUUUAUAAAAAUAAUUCAUUACAAUAUUUGAUAAAAAUAAUUUAUUAAUAAAUUAUGAUUUAAUAAAAAUAAUUUAUUUUAUAUAUAAUUUUUUUAAAAAUUCACUUAAACUUAAGUUUGAUAAAAAUAAUUUAUUAUAACAUUUAAAUAUAAUUCAUUAUAAAAUUUAUUACAAUAUUUAAAUAUAAAUAAUAUGUAUUAAAAUAGUACAAUUAAUAAUUUUAUAAUAAAAAUAAUAUAUUAUAAUAUAUAAUAUAUAACAUAUUAUAUCCAUAUAAUUUAAUUUUAAUUCAAUUUUAUAAUUUUAAUAAAGUAUGAAAUUAAAUAUUGAAAUAGCAUUAUUCCGUCAAAACGAUAGAAUAGUAAAUUUCAAGCUAUUCCGGAAUAACUAAAAAUAGCAAAAUUUGACCGGAAUAAAAUAUUUCCAUAAAAAAGUAUUCUAUUUAGCAGAAUAGCGAGAAUAUAUAUAUAUAUAUAUAUAUAUAUAUUUGAGAGAUAGGUAACACACUACCUGCUUUGUUUAUUUUAUUUAAAAAUAAAUUUAGCUGGAAAUAUAAAUUAACUAGGAUUCGAAUUUGGAUCUCGGGUAUCAACUAUUAAAUCUUUUGCCACUUGCUCUAAGGACGAUCGGCAAAUAUAAUAUUGGCCCAUGCGGGAAUAAUUUUUAUUAUUCCGGCUUUAUUCGUGAAUCAAACGGAAUCUUAGAAUAUUUCUUUUUCUAUGUAAUAAUAAUAAAAAAUGAAAUAAAUUUUUUUUUUAAAAAAAUUUGGGUCUAGUUGCUGGUAAAGGUUGAAAUGUGAGUCACAUUGUGUAUGGAAAAAGGGAUGAUCAAGGACCAUUCACUAAUCAACACAUCACAAGUGGCAAACCCACUUGAUGUGAUGUGCCAUGUAAACAUCACAGUGGGCUGUAUCAAAUUGACUACAAAAAUAGGAGGCCAUGUGCUUCAUAUGGUUAAAGGAGCCUAUUCUUAUUCUCAUAUCUCUCUCUCUCUCUCUCUCUCUCUCUCUCUCUCUCUCUCCACCUAUUCCCUUCAUUAUUUCCUUAUUUUACUUCUAACACACAACAAACAUGUGCUCCAAUUCUCCAUCCUUAUCAUCUUCUCCCCCCCACUUUGCCCAACUUAAUAAAGAACCAACUAGCUUUCACUAUAUAAGAAAACAAGAGGCUAAGGUAGGGAAAGAACACAAAGUCUCAAAAAACAACUUAGAAAAAGAGAGAGAGGGAGAAGGAGAUGGAGAGGGAAAAAACCAACUUCUCUAUAACUUGUAGCCUCUUAAGCAAGUUUAUGAAGGAAAAAGGAAGCAUUAUUGGUGGGUUGGGGCUUGAGAUUAUGGGCCCUAAACCUCUUCAACAACAAGCUAAUAAUGGUGAGAUAUGUUCCAUAUAUGUUUUGGGUUCUCUACUUAGUUUUUUUUUUUUUUUUUUUUUUUUUUUUUUGGGGGGGGUUGAUCAAACAAAGAUGAUAAAUGGGUUUUUGUUAAUUCUAAUCUAUUUUUCAGUGAUAAAUAUACCUGCUAAUAUAUUUUCAGCAUUUUUCUUUUUCCUUUUUAGAAGAUGCUAAUACAAAAUUAACAGAAAAUGAACAAUUAUGCUUUGUUUGAAAAUAAUGAAUAUUUAUUUUUUAUUCUACACGUAUAAUUUUACAUAUUUCUCCACUCAAAAAAUAAUUCAAAACAUAUGAAGUAAUUUUUUUUCUUUUUCUUUUCUUUUUUUUUUUUUAGGAAUAGAUUCUCAGCUUGCUACCAUGAACUUAUUAGAUGGAGUUAAUGCAUCAGUAGAAGAACAUAUCAAAAAUGCUGGUGAACAACAUGAAAGUGCCGAGAAUCCGCAUUUUAAGUGAGCUUUUUAUUCUUGUAAUUGUAUACAUCAUAAAAUUUGUGCAAGCAAUUAGAAAACCAAAUGUACUGAUUCUAAUUUUGGUGGUGAAUUAUAUAUAGUGGUUCAGAGAAAGCGCAGCUGACGAUAUUUUACGGCGGAGAAGUGCUGGUUUUCGACGAUUUUUCCGCCGGUAAGGUCGAGGAAUUGAUGCGAAUGGCGAAGGAGACGUCGUCGUCGGUGCAAAAUUUCCGCAUCGCGGUUCCUCAAUUCGCCGCUUCUCCAACUGAUCAUAAACUCAAAUCCAGCUCCCAAAAUACUGCUGUGCCUAGGCCUGCUCAAGCCAUUGCUUCUGGUGAUCAUUCUUUUCUCUCUCUUUCUUUCUUAAUUUUUCUCUUCUCUUCUCUGCAUCCAAACCGAGCAUAAGUAAACAAUUAUUAUUAAAUAUAAAAAUAUAUAAACAUCGUUUUCUACUUGCUUAAGUUUUUAGAGUACAACGAUUGUUUUACAUGGUAUCAGAUCUAGCAGAAGGUCUUAAAGUUCGAACCACGCCAAGCUCCUAACAUUAUUAAUUCCUUUCAUUUAAUUCAAGUUUAUGUCAUGGGCUUGUAAAAAAUUUCGAGUUCAGAUAUGAAGGGAGUGUUAAAUAUAAAAAUAUAUAAAUACUGUUUUUUAACUAGUUAAGUUUACUUUAUAGUAGUUAGAUCUGAUCUUUGCUGAUCACAAUGGUACAUAAAGUUCUUUUAAGAACCAUAUUAAAAUUUUCACAAUGCUCCUGAAAAUUUUUUUUGUUAAUUGUUACUUACAAUAGUAUUUACUCUUGUCGAAAACAGAUAUACCUCUGGUAAGAAGAAAUUCGCUGCAUCGAUUCCUCGCGAAAAGGAGGGAAAGGUGAGAGCAUUUGAUCCCUCCACACUUGCUUCAAUCACCAUGGAAAAUCACAUAAAAUUAGAAGUAACAAUUAUUAUUAAUUUUUUUUCUCUUAACAUUUUUGUAGGAUUAACACCAAGGCGCCUUACCAACUAAAUUACUCUUUGGAGGCCAAGAACGCGGCUAAGACGGAGGAUAAUAAUAAGUCGUGGCUCGGCUUAGGUUCAGGAGUCAUUGGAUCCGAACAUGAGCUUCGUUUGUAGAAGAUCGGAGUGAUGGAUCAAACAUUUUACGAAGUAUGUUAAGCAUAUAUAGUGGCCUCUUUGUUUAAACACAAUGUUGUUUCUUUUUUGCCUCCCCAAAUGAGGUUUGAGAUGUAAAUUUGUAUUUUAGCAAAGAGGUGGAUUAAUUCAAAGAAUAUAUAUGAUAUGUUUGAUUUGAAAAUGAUUCAUCUUAUCUUAUAGAUAGUUGUUUAGCGAUAUUUUUAUUUUUAUUUUAUUGUAUUAGCUAAUUAAAUUUGGUUGCUAUGAUGAACAAUUGGAUGAAAAAAGGCAAGAAAUGUGCUUUUGCUACAAUGUGAAUUAGUAAUAAGUUUGACAUUUGAAUCCUUCUGAUACCCACAAGCAAGGAUUUAAGUACCUAUCGGUACGAACUGUAUCUAUUAUAUCGUAUCAGACCAAUAAGAUACUGGCAUAAUACAGUCUCUGUACCAAUAACACAGUUCAAAAUUUUUUUUAUUUUAAAUUAAUAAGUAAUUUUUUUAAUAAAGUUCAAAAUAUUUGAUAAAAAUAUAUAAUAAUUAACUAGAAAAUUUUAUUACUAAAGAAAAUAAUUUUUUCAUACUAUUAUGUGUCAGCACAUAUGUACUUUUUGUAACCGGCACGCGUCGAUACCGUUUAGCACGCACUGUGCCAGCAAAUUUACGGCACGAUCCUGUAUUACGACACUUAAAUUCUUAUUUAACACAAAAAAAAUAUAAUACUUAAAUAUCCCAAAAUUUUGAAAAAAAAAUUUCAGCAGCUGAAAAAUAAAUUAUAUGUCAAUUUCCUUUCAUGUAGAAUAACUUUUCCCAUUAUAGAGUUCAUUAUGCAUCUAGAAUCUCAGCUAAUUAUAAAUUUUUGAGUAUCGGAGUAUGUAGUGUACAAAGAAAGGUUAUUUCGUUGUCCAUUGGUUGGUCAGGUUGGUGUAGGAAUAAAAAUUAAAUUUUACUUUGGGUAGACUGGUUGUUAACUGUUUGCUUUAUUGGGAAUAACAUUUGAUGUAUGAGGGCUAUGAGGUAAAAAAGUAUAUAUAAUAAUAUAUAUAUAAAAUAGGGGGGGGGGGGGGGUGGGGGGGGAUAACACCAGCUAAAAAAUUUCUAUAGUCAGUGUGGGCUCUCUUUUGAGAAAAGGGUGGCUAUAAACAAAGAAUUAAUAAAUAUCCAAAAAUAGAAAGAAAAUAAUUACUAAAAGAAAAAAAGAAUAAGACUAUUAUAUUGACAAGAAACAUUUAUAACAAUUUUUCUCACAUAUCAGCCCUUUAAAAAUUAUAUUUGACAAAUAAUUCUUUUUAAAUUAUUUUUCACUAAAAUUUCUAUUUUUCUAAUUUCAGUAUUAGUUGAAAGAGUCGAAGGUGAUGGUUGAAUAACUAUUACGAUUAUCAUUUUUUACUUUAGAAAGAAAACAAUGAAUGAUUUACUCUUUCUUUCUUGUAUUCUCUACUUUUUUUAGUUAAUUCGCGAAUUAUUUGCGAAUUAUUGAAAAUCCGAAUUAAAUAGUCCGUUUAUGAAUUUUUUCUAAAGAAAAUAAAUUAUUCGCGAAUUUUUAGGCCAGCUGAAUAAUUCGCAAAUUAUUUCCGAAUUAUUGAAAAUCUGGAUAAAAAACUUAUAAAUUUUAUAUUUAAAUAUAGAUUAUCUUAUAUUUUAUAUUUUAUACCGAAUCCGUUUUUUAAGCCGAAUUUUUUAAUGAAUUUAAAAAUUAGAAAACGAAUUUCAUGCGUAUUAUAUCCGUACCGAAUUUUUGCCGAAUUCGAAUUAACUAUGUUCUCUACAAUCAUAAAAAAAUUUCAACAACCAAUAUAUAAUCCAAACAUACUCACAAACAUUCUAACAAGCCGCAAUACAAUCGACCGUCCGUAGAGCAAGUGGCAAAGGGCUUGGUGGUUGGUACCCGAGGCCCAAGUUCGAAUCCUAGUUGAUUCACAUUUCCAGUUAAGUUUAUUUCUAAAUAAAAUAAACGAAGCGGGUAACGUGCUACCUAUCUCUCUCUCAAAAAAAAAAAAACAAGCCACAAUACAAUCAUAACAAUCUAAUAAAAAUCCGAUCAACCCACAUAUAAUUCUAACAAUUCCAUAAUUUUUACAAACGAUAUUAACAAUCUAAUGUUUUCUAAAGAUGGUGAAUAAUUCACCGUUUUUAAAAUUUUAUUAAACACUGUGAAUGAUUCAAUGUAUUUUCGUUCUCCUUCCAUCAUGGAGCUAAGUUGGAGAAAAUAAGAUUGGAUAGCUGUUAGAUGUGACGCGAAAUUGAUAAUCGACUUUAGUUCGGGAUUUCGACUCGCCGACAGUUUUGCAGUGCGACUAAAUUGGAAAAUAAAAUUGUGAAACAAAAAUGAAUGUCUGUUGUGGGUAGCAGAGGGCUCGGGCUCCACAGUAUGGAUCGGAUCCAAAACCCAUUAAGAAUUUUCUUGUCAUUUUUGCCCUAGAGGCGAUAGUUUGAAGUUGGUUGUACUCACUGAACAUUAUAUUUUCUUUUUCGUUCGAUAGUGAAGUUCUCUCCUCUCUCGCCCGUAAUUUUUUCCUACAAAAGAUUUUUAGCAUAAAUCUGUGUUUUCUUUUUUAUUUCUACUUGUGGUUUGUUUAUUUUGUGUUUGCUAUUUUGUUUCCAUUUGUGCGCUUAUCGUAACAAUAGCCAAUUAAAAUUUUGAUAGGAUUAUUUGACAAAUUGUAAAUUUUUAGGAGUCAGUUUAAAAAAAGUCUCAUUUAUACACACAUGUUAAUUAUACUAUGGAGCGUACAUCCAAUUUUUAGACCUUGGGAUCCAUACCAAAAUAAAUAUCAAAUAGUAAACUCUAGUGAUUCAUGGCCAAAAAGUUUGAAAUUUCAUACUUUAAAAAGUAUCUAUAUAGAGAGUAUUAAUCUUAUACAUUAGUCGUCCAAGACUAAUACUUACUAUUUUUAUCAAUUUUUUUAAUACUAAAAAUUUGAUAUAAAAUUUUAGAAUUUUAAAUUGGUGGGCAUAAUAUUUACAUCUUAUAUGUACGGUGUGCAUAUAGAAUUUUGGGGCAAUUACUUAUAUAUGACUUUCUGAUUUAUCUCUCUUACAAGGCUAAUAUUGAAAAUACUCUUUUUACGUUCCAACCUAUUUCUAAUAUACCCCUAGAGUUAAAAUCUGUUAAUGAAUUCUGUUAUCUCUAUAAAAUUACUAUUUUGCCCUUUCAAAUAUACUCUUAUACUAUCAUCGACUUUUCUUAUUUGCCUUUUAGGCUUCGUUUGGGGGACUUUUCUUAUUUGCCCUUUAGGCUUCGUUUGGGAUUGCAGGGAGAUUACGUUACGUGCGGUGAGAAAGUACGUUGGAAAAAUACCCUGUUUGUUUCCGUACGCAAUAUUGCGUUCCGCAUAUUGCGAUGAGUCGGUUACGAUAUAUUUUCUGCGGUCCCACCGAAGAACUCAUAAGCAUAUCCUUAUAUGCUUUUUCUUCAACUCCACUUUAUCUAAUAGCGUUAGAUAUACCUCGAUACCAAACUAAGGCUUAGUUUGGGAUUGCGGGGAGAUUGUGUUACGUGCGGUGAGAAAGUACGUUCGAAAAAUACCUGUUUGUUUCCGUACGCAAUAUUGCGUUCCGCAUAUCGCGAUGAGUUGGUUACGAUAUAUUUUCUGCGGUUCCACCAGAGAACGCAUAAGUAUGCUUUUUUCUCAACUUCAUUUUAUCUAAUAGCGUUAGAUAUACCUCGAUACCAAAAGAAGCCUUAGUUAGGGGCACAAAAAGUGUUUGCUUUUCGGUCUUUUCAAAUAUACUCUUUUACUACCACAAACAUUUUUUAUUUGCCCUUAAGUUAAGGGCAAAAGUGGUAUUUUAUUUUUUUUUAAACAGUGAUAGAUAUUUAACUCACGUUUAACCUAAGUUAACUUAACGGAUUGUAACUGUAGGGGUAUUUUGAAAUAGCGGAGGAACAUUUGAGGGGUAUAGUAGAAAGAAAAAAAGAGUAGGAAUAAAUGAGAUAUUUUUAAUAUUUUGAGGGGUAUAUAGAUAAUUAUUCAUAGUAUUUUCCAUUACCAUAAUGAUGAAGUUUGAUUUACUAUCAUAAAGAACUCAGAAACAUAUCAAACAUUUAUUUAUAACAUGUAAAUAUAAUCUACUCUCUUUUUUUUCUUUAUGUUUUUUUCUUGCAAAAAUUGUCCAUACAAGGUCUUGUAUUUGAAACAAUUUUUAUGAAGUUGUAGUAGUGCUGCUCCUUGGGCCAAGUACUGUUCAAUAAUGUAAAAAAUUCGUUAUUUUUUAAAAACUUAAACUGAUAAAAAAAAAUAAUAUUUUAAAUUUUUUUUUUUUAUAUUUAACACUUUUUUUUAUAUCUGCACUUGAGAAUUUUUGGAAAGCGUAAGCUGGUAAAGAAUGUUGUUUUUAUACUUUUUAUAUUUAACACUCUAUGUUCGGACUUGAGAGCUUUUGAGAGGCUUACGGCGUGUACUUGAAUUAAAUAGAAAAAAUUAAUUAUGCUCGAAAUUUAGCGUUACUCGAAUUAAGCACCUCAUAUUCUGAUAUCAUGUUAAAUAAUAAUGUGAAUAACUGUUAUUCUCCAAAUUCUUAACUUAGUAGAGAAUGGUAAUUUUUAUUUUGAUUGAGAAAUGUCUUUUUCACUAAAAAAGAUAGUGGGAUUACCGGGCUAAGUUCUGAUUAAAAAGGACAUAUUUGUUUCACCAAACAUAAAAUUCACACUGAAGCUUGACGUAGACUUUCGAAUAAAUUAAAAUUCAGAUAAAAAUUCUCUCUCUUUUACUAUUUAUUUGUAUAGUUGUGGAACUAAAAGUUUUUCUAAUUAAUUUUUUUAUUUGACAAGAAGUGAGCAGAAGAAAAGCUAGCGUGUGAAAAUGGAUUAAUGAUCAUUUAUCUUUUUUCUCACCUUUUUUUUCUAUAGUUGACUUUAGAGUGGACUGAAGUCAAUUAUGGAAUUUUUAAAAAAUUGAGUUUCGACCGAAAAAAAAAAAGUUACACUAAAUCAAACAAAAUAUAAAUUUUCAAUUCUCUUUACUUUUAAUAAAAUAAACAAACAUAAAAUAUUUUUUGAUUGAGAGACAGUGCAAUAAACCUCUAGGCAAGGUCUUUUUUUUGGAUAUUGAAACACAUUGCCAAAAUUCUAUGUAAUUUUGCUCUUUUUAAUUUGCUGCUCUAUGUAAUAAUUAAAAGAAAAAUCUCCCCAAAAUUAUGCCCAUGUUUUGAAGAAACGAAAAAAGGUAAAAAGAGAAUGUGCUCAUUAAUAAAAGGAAAAACUUCAAAUACCACCCCUGUGGUUCUACACUUUCUUACUUUAGUGUUCUGUGGUUUAAAAUGUAUCAAUUUAAUGCUCUGUGGUUUCUUUUUUAUCUUUUUAUUAUCGAUUUCAUUAAGUUUUUUCGUUAAAUUAGUGAUAAAGUUAAAACUAAAUGAUACUAAGAUGAAUAGUCGAUAAACCUAGGUGGGGUAUCUGGAGUUUUUUUUGUGUAUAAUUUAACAAAAUAUUAACGAAAAAACUGAUGAUGAGAUAAAAAUAAAGCAACAGAAUACUAACUUGAUACACUUUAAACCACAUAAUAUUAAAGUGAGAAAGUGUGAAACAACAGGGAUGGUAUUUGAAGUUUCCCCUUAAUAAAAGAAUGUGCUCAUUAACAAAAAAUUCCCACUGUGUGGGAUGUUUGGGGCCAUUUGAUUAUUUGGGCCAAAACAAUCUUUUGCUAAAGAAUGUGCUCAUUAACAAAAAUUUAUUAUUAUUCUUAUUAGUAGUAGUAAUAGUAGCAGUACGAAUUAAGAAAGAAGUUUGAUUAAGAAAAAUAAAUAUAGACGGAAAUAAAGAAAACUCCUCUCUGACUUUUAAAAAGCUGCACUUAGCCUGCUCAAAAUUUCAGAACUAUUUUUGGAGAUUACGACAUUAACGGAGAGUGCGAAAUGGUAAAACUGUUUCCUACUCGUUUUGAAAAAAAAAAAACUUUUGAAUAUAUUUUUACUAUUUUCAAAGGUAUUCUCAAUAUAUUCUGUCAUAAAUUUUAAGAAAUUGAUAUAAUAGUAAUGAAACCUCGACGGCUAGGGAAUAAAAUUUUGAGAGACCAAAACAUAAAAUUUUGAAACUCUGGAGGAGAAAGUAAAAAAACUAGUAUUUACAAGAGAUUUUUUUUUUAUAUAUUUUAGCCAAAUUAAUACUAUCCUCUAAAUGAGAAUUAUAAGAGAGCAACUGUAAAAUUGAAAUAGAAAAUAGGUGAUGCUAUUUGUAUACUCAAAGGAAAAAAUAAUACAAAUCUUAUGUCUUAGCAUCUAAGGGUUAUUAUUAAUCUGUGUCUUGUCAAUUUUUUUUUACAAUACUAAAAAGGCCAAUUUGCAUAAAAAGUUCACUAGUUUUGCGAUUUCGCAAAACUGUGCCACUAUUUUGAAUUUUAUAGAUUCACAUCGAAAUUUUAGAAAACUGACGAAAAUAUUCUUAUUCCUUUUUCUCUCGUUCUUUUUUUCAUGUCCGACCCUUGUCGCCUCCUACACUAUCUCCGCAGCCCUCGGCGACUGUAAUGAGGGUGGCGCUGCCUCAUGUUCCUUCGCCUCCGCCUCCGCCUCUAUCGGCGCCGGCACUGACGUCGGCACCGGAGGAGGAGAACAUGGAGCCACCUCCGCCUCCGUCGGUGCCGAAGGAGGAGAACUUGGAGUGGGCCCGAGUGACGGCGGACCUGACGGAAGCGACAAGGUCAUGACUGAGGAGGUGCUCGCCGCCCGUGAGGAUAUGGAUAUAGAAGCACCAAUCUCCAAGGAGCAGAAAGAGAUGUAGAAAGUAGGAAAAAAAGAAUAAAAAAAUAAAGAAAAAAUUUUCUUCUUGAAAGACCAUUGUAUAUCAUUGCUAUUACAGAAAAUGCCAAGAAUCAGAGAAGAAGAAAGUAGAAGAUGGAUGUUGCACUGUUAAAAUAAAAUUGUACUAUUUCAUAAAAAAAAAUUACACUGUUUGAGAUGAACGUUGCACUCUUUAAGAUAAAAAUUGUACUCUUUAAAACAAAAGUUGUACUUUUUCGAUAAAAGUUACAUUAUUUUAGAAAAAAUUGCACUCUACCUUUCAUGGCGACCACCUUCGCCAACGCAAGCCUCUUCACUCUACGCGCCGCGUCGGAGCGCCGAAGUCCAGAGACGUCCCACCUCCCCUGUGCAAGGCUCGCCCUAUUCCCACACAGUGGCGGUGUUCCGCCACCGCCACCGCCACCGCCACCGUUGGCGCCAUGUUUAACAAGAUCAUUAAGCGUGGUGGCCGCAAAGUGCCUGAAUCAGAGUCCUCCUCCCUCGACCUUUCCUCCCUCUCUCCCUCAUUCUCUCCCCCGCUCGUCUCCAUCAACCAUGCCUCUUGCUGAGCCGCCGCCGCCGUUGUUACACCCUUGCUCUCCUCGGGCUCCUCCUCCUUCGCAAUCGCCGCCACCGCAUCAUCUCCACCGCCGCCUCCACCACUUCCGUCACUGCACCAGGGGAAUCAGGGCGGCCAUAGCGCUCACCAGGUGUUCGAGAUCGAGCCCCUCCCUUGCUCCGCAACAUGCAAACGCCGGACCGCCCCAUACUCUUCCUUUGCAAGCUUUGGGUCUGCUCCUUCCUCUUUGUCUCCUCUGCUAUGCCGUCUCCUUCGACAUCGACACCCCCACCGCGUGGGAAUAAGGCGAGCCUCGCGCGAGAGAGGUGGGUCACCUCCACGUUUCGGGGCUCCAACAUGCGGGGUGGACAGGCUCGCGCUGGCGAGGAUGGUCGCCAUGGAAGGUAAAGUACAAUUUUCUCUGAAACAAUGUAACUUUUAUCGAAAGAGUGUAACUUUUAUUUCAAAGAGUAGAAUUUUUAUCUCAAAGAGUGUAAUAUUUAUCUCAAACAGUGCAAUUUUUUUGUGAAACAGUGUAACUUUAUUUUAACAGUGCAAUAUUCAUCUUCUUCUUAUCUGAUUUCUGGCCUUUAUUGUAACAAUGACGAUAUAUAAUGAUCUUUCAAAUAAAUUUUUUUUUAUUCUUUUUUUUUUUUCUACCCGCUACAUUUGUUUUCGCUCCUUCGAGAUGGAUGCGUCUUCGUCCUCACCCUCAUGGGUGACGUGCACUUCCUCGGCCGACCUCAUUAUUUUCGUCCGUUCCGCUCUCACCUGCACCCACUCUGAGUUUCCUCCUCCGGCGCCGGCGUUGGUGCUAGCGGAGGCAGAGGUGGAGGCGCCUCCGAGUUCUCCUUCGGCGCCGAUGUUGGUGCCGACAACAGUAGAGGCGGUGGAAGAGGCACCGCCUUUAUUACUGUCACCGAGGGCCGCGGAGGCAAUUGAGGAGGCAACGAGGGUCAGAAAGGGAAAAAAAAUGAGUAAAAAAAAAAAGAAAAUAGAAAAAUAGUAUUUUUUGUCUGUUUUCUAAAAAUUUGAUCCAAAUCUACAAAAUUCAAAAUAGGUUUCCAUUUUUACAAAAUUAUUACAAAAUUAAUGAAUUUUUUAUACAAAUCGGCCUACUAAGAUCUAAAAGAAAAAUAAUCCAAAAACAACAAAAAUUUCUAAACGCUCCAAAAGAUGCCAUCAUAUAUUUUUAAAGUGAAAAAAAAAAAGAAAAAAAAAGAAAAAGAAAAAGAGAAAAAAUAAAAAACAGUGACCCCUUUCUCUUCUCUCCUCCCGUUUGCGAAGGAUCGAGAGAUCGAGAGAGAGAGAGAGUGGGAGAGAUUCGGCGAUCGGUGACGAUGAAGGCGCCGCCACCAGCGGCGGCGAGGGAACGGCGAGCGUUGGCGGCGGUGAGCACGGGGGCGGCGGCGCUCUCUCUCGGGGGCUCCACCUUCAUCGUGCUCUGCUACGUCCUCUUCAAGGAGCUCCACAAGUUCUCCUUCAAGCUCGUCUUCUUCCUCGCCCUCUCCGUAAGCCCUCUCCCCUUCUCCCUCUUUCCUCGAAUCUGUUCUUUCCUAGCUCAGAUUCGUAUGAUAGGCUGCGGAAUUAGGGUUUCCACGAGGUAAAAAUGUGUGGAGAACCCCUCGAUGGCCAUUUUGAGAUUUCCCCUUCAGCUUUAGAAUUAUCGAUUAACACUCCCCGUAACUUUUGAUUUUGAGUGAUUUUAGUCGAAUAAAUUGGUUAUUUUAUCAAAUUCAUCGACUAUUCCAUCCAAUUCAAUGGUUUUUAUCGAUUUUUAGCAAAUAAUACUGGACCAAUUAGUGGUUAAUAACCGACUUAACUUACUAGAAUAACAUAAAUUGAAAAAUUAGAAGUGAAUGGUUCUCAAUCGGAAAAAAAGCAAAGCCGAGGGGCCUAUUUCAGAAUGGCCUGUAUAGUUGAGGGAUCUCUAUACAUUUAGCUUUUUUUUGGAGUGGAGUGGAUAUAGUUAAUUAAAUUAGAGGUUUAUUAUAUUCUACUGCAUUUCUGUUAAAUUUUAAUGCUUGUAGAUAACUUUUAGCGUUGGAAUCGCAACAAUUAACAGUUAAUGUCUGACGAAGCUGUUAAAUUUUCAACAUUUUUAACUUAAACCAAGUGUAAUAACUUAGAUCAGAAGCAUACGGUGUUGAGAGGGAGCCAAAUAAAAGUUGAAGGGUCUAUUUCACAACGGGCUAUAUUUCGAGACGGUCUCAGUGCAUUUUUUGCCUUUUAUACUAAUACCUCUCUGAUUCAAAGCUGUUUUUGGCCUCCUUUGUAAUAUGGAAACACUAAUAAAUGUAGUGAUACACUACAUGUGGGCUUCCUUAGAAGAUUUCAAGUCCUCUACUUAUGAUUUGUGAUGCUUUUUUUGGACCUUGUCAAAACUCUUGUCGAUGUUUUAUUUGCGGUUAUUUUCUCUUAUCUUUUAAAAUCGUCUGUAAUCCAGAACGUUUAGUUGAUAAGUUGCAUCUGUCUUGCAGGAUAUGUUUUGCAGCCUCUUCACCAUAAUAGGGUAUGUUCCUUUUUUUUUCUCAGUAGCUCUUCUGAUGCUAUCAUUCUUUGUGAGAUUCUUUAUCAUCUUUUAGAGUAAAUUCACUCAAGAACACUAGUUUAUCCUUGAUUAUAGAAAAAGCUGAACUCUUUUCCUAUAGGAAUUGAUAACAUAGGGAUAUUUGUACCGCCAGAGUUGCACCAAAUGGGGGAUAUAAUUCUUCCAACAUGAUUCCCGAAAUGUACCACUACAUAUAGCCCUAGUUUAGAAUUUCAUAUUAAGGUUAUUAGCAAUUUGAGGAUCUUUUUGAUAAUUCCUUAUCCAGCUUAUUUUCAAUGGUACAAAUAUCUCAUCCCUAGUUCAGUUUCUUUACUUUUUCUUCUUCUGUUUUGGACUAGUCUGGAUCGCUGCCAGCUUUUGUUAAUUUUCAUUUGACCGACCCCUUGCUUCAAGGAAUUGGGUUACCUUCACUUCGACCGAUAAAUUUAUGGGCAGACUGUGAGAUGCUGUAGUAUAUGAAUACAUACAACAUUCUAAUGAGUUAUUCUGACGACCAUAUGCUUAGUUGCAUGUCAAAUUUAGCUUUUGUCCUGUGGGAACAUGUUGCUUUGCUUUGAUCACUUCAUGCAUAAAUGUAUCUGAAUCCGAGGAACGAAUUAGAUCAGAAUUAGCACCUGCCUGAUAUGCAUGAGUAAUGUGAAGUGAGGACAACUCUAACAGAAUAUACUUGGUGCUCAAAAGGGUGAAGUAGUAUAUGUCUAUAUGGUAUACCUUGUCGAAGUCUAUUAUAAUGACUUUAACUGUGAUGAAUAAGAUUCGAAGGUUGUUUUGGUCCUCUUUUAUCAUAAUAUCAUAAUCCCCUUGUUUUUCAUCAUUCUUUAAAUAAUGAAUAAUGACUCCUGCAGAAUGACACUUCUUUAUCUUUCAGCGACCCAUCAAAUGGAUUUUUCUGCUAUGCUCAUGACUACAGUGCACACUUCUUUUGUGUGGCAUCGUUUUUGUGGACUACAACGAUUGCAUUCACUCUUCAUCGUACAGUUGUUAAACAUAAAACGGAUGUUGAAGACUUUGAAUCUGUUUUCCACCUGUAUGUAUGGGGUAUGCUUUCUGCUUGCAUGGCUUAUUUUUCUCACUGAUCCUUUGUUAGAGUAUGACAAUAAAUGGUUGUUCUUUUCUUGGUAUUUUUGCCAAAAAAGGAUUCACUUUUUUCUUUUUUUGAAUUUGCAAGAAUGCGUCACUUUUUAUGUUUUUCAAACAUUAGCCGACUUCUAAAUAGGUAUAAAGUUCUUCAUGAAAUGACCAUGAUGCACAGUUUUAAACUGCGGCUCCUCCUUUUGAAGCUGUAUUUGACAAUUUAUUGUUGUAUCCCAAAAUUCCUUUCUUACUAAUUUAGUGUUUCCAUUAUUAGUUUGUUAACUUUUGCUGUUCUGCAUUGCCACCCAAGUUAGUUGUUGCCUGGAUCUGAUUUAGUGUUUCCAUUAUUAGUUUGUUAACAUUUGCUGUUCUGCAUUGCUAGCCAAGUUAGAUGCUGCUUGGAUCAGUAGAAUUAAUUUCCAACAAGCAGCCCUUAUUUUGAUAACAGUGGUUUCAGGUGCUGACCGAAGCUUGAUUUUGUUCCUACUAUUCCCUAGAGUGUUUUUGUUGAUUGUGAUUUUAGUAGCAGCUUAUCCAUCAUGUUUUUUUUUUUUUUGUCUUCCGCCAAGAACUUACGCAUUAAAUUUGACAAUGAUUUGGUUUCUUUUGGUAAACAUAGUUUAAAUGUCAUGUAGCUUUUUCAAAGGUUUAUAAAAUUGUAAGCAUAAAUCUGCGCUAUUGCAGGAACCUCACUUGCUAUGACUAUUAUACGUGCAAUUGGCAGUGAUUAUGGACGGCCUGGUGCGUGGUGCUGGACUGAACCUGCAAAUACUGGAAAGGUGUGAUACUGGUGUCUACUACUUUGUUUAUAUCAUAAUUAAUUACUUGUAGGUUGCACUACAGGUUUUCUGGAAAUAUAUGCUUUCUGAACACUGUUAACCUAUAUUGCCAUCGUCAACAAAAAAAAAAAGUUGAUAUGUGAUAAGUUUUGUCUGAGUAAAAGAUUGCUGCCUAUGACUUUCCGAGUAAGUUGCCUGUAGGAGGAGGCAAGAUCCCUCCUUUUUAUGUUCUUUUUGUUGGAGGAUAUGUUUGUUUCUUCUUUAUUCAAAGUUUGAGUGAGUAGGCUAGUAGUAAACUUGUUUAUUUUACAUUUCAGGAUUUCCUAAACAGUUUGGUUAGGUUGUUCAUUAAUAAACAUCAUUGUGCUCAGAUCCCAGAGGAAAGAAAAAACUCACUUGGCUCUAGGAGAAACUUCGUUUUUGUAAGAAACAUUUCUUUCUUUCUAAAAUUUUUCUGAAAACUAUAUAUAUAUAUAUAUAUAUUUCUAGAUUUCAGGUAUGAAUGGAUCUCAGGAUAGAAUUUAAAUUUUUUGUCCAUUACGCCUUUAGGUUUUCCAGUCUUGAUUAAGUUAGGAAUACAUUGAUUUAUGAAGUGAGUAGUUAUAUUGAAGAGAAUCCAGAGAGACAAAACAUUUCUAGGAAAAAUGCAGACUAUAAGUAUCUUCCACUUUCUAAAUGAUCUAUUCUAUAUAGUACUAGGAACCCAAUUUUCAUGCAUCACGAUAGAUGGGAAUUAUAUGUAAUGACAAGUACAAAAUCUUUAGUUUGUUUCUACAUAUCCUUUAUUUGCAUCUACUUUUCAAGUUCAAGUGGUAACAACCAAGAGUUCUGAUAAUGGGAUCUUGUAGCAUCUUCUUUUGUGUAGUUUUGACUUGGAUUGUUCUGUUUGUUUGCUCUUGCCAAGUAUUUGUGCUGUUGCCAUACUCAAUUUUCUUUUUCGAGUAAUUCAAUUUUGUCUAUUUUCUCCGGUUUUACUCUUCCAUUCCAUGAUUUCUAAUUAAUUACAGGUAGCGCACUUGAUAACAUUUUAUGGUCCAUUGUGGGGUGCAAUUCUUUACAAUGGUUUUACAUAUUUUCAAGUAAAUCGCAUGUUGAACAAUGCGACAAAGGUAUGUUGCACAUUACGCUGACUAAUUUAGUGAGCUGUUUUGGCAGUAACUAUUGGUCCGGAAAUUGUUUCAUAAAUACCUUAUUCUGCUCUGCUCCUUUUUUGGCAUUCUUAGGUUAUGUCUCAUGUUUUGUGAAACAAAUUGCAGAUGGCUGUUGGCAUGGGUGGAUCAAACCAAUUUGAUACAAGGGCAGAUAGGAAGGUAUCCCUUUGUUCUCCCGACUACUUUUUGUUCAGAGUUUCUAUGUCGUGGUUGUUUUCAGUAUUAUAUGCGCUUCAGAUGUUUGAAUUCUAUUUCUUCAUGGAAGUUGCUCCAUUUCAAACUUACCAUAACUCAAUGCUUAAAUUACACCAUUUAGGUGCACAAUAUGCACGCAGAUAAACUCACACAGACGCACGAACAUGCAUAGACAUGUUUGUUCAACGUGAACAUAGUAUCUGAAUUCAUACAUAAAAACAUUGUCCUUCCUGUUAGAGCAAUGAUGCCACAAUGGCCAAUUAUGAACAAAGUUAACCGUUCGCUCUUGCACUUUGAUUUGUUUGCAGGCAUUCAAUCGGUGGGGUUACUACCCUUUGAUUUUAAUAGGCUCUUGGGCUUUUGGAACCAUCAACCGUCUAUAUGACUUUGUUAAUCCAGGCCACAAGAUCUUCUGGCUUUCAUUGCUUGAUGUUGGAUUUGGUGGACUUAUGGUAAGUACUAGUGUAACUUUCUGUUCACGGUGUUUCUUCUCAAAUUCUGAAGAUAGAAUUUUGUUCUCUUAUUUUUCUUUGGUAUUAUGAUAUGAUCAAUCAGACCGCAAUCUAUCUCAAGUUUUCCUUUACAAUUCUGGCAGUCGCAAAAUAAUUUCCUAGUUAGCAGUAAUCUCUUUCAUCAAGGACUUCUUUUCCCCUGUUUUAAGUUGCGUCUGGGUUUGACUUUGCUUUGCACAUUAUCUAUAAAUAAAGUCACCCUUCAUUCACAACUAUUUGUGGUUGGCUUUAUGGAUUUGAUUCCUAUGUUCCAGUAUCACAUGGGCAAGAUUAUUCCCGGCCAAGUGCAAUUAUGUUUAUUCUUACUACUCUUUAGGCACCUUCAAGCUGAACAAAUCCUCUACUCAAUCAUUGUGAUCUGUAGAAUAGUGUCUCCAAGCAUCUGUUAAGUAUUAUUUGAUUUCUUAUUGGCUUGGAGGCUUGUCGGAACUUAAUUACAUCAUAUUUUUUUUUGGAGGAACUAUUUAGAAAGUAUGCAUACAGUAUAUAUGAUCUAGAUACGUACCUCUUAACCGCUUUUUUUGUGAGAACCCCUAAAGCCCUAACCCUUAAGAUGACCAGUGAAAUUGUAGUGUUAAGGACUGAUAAAGCAGAUGGGAGUAGAAGGUUAUGCCAGACUGCAGACAAUUAUCUGCUGCCUGUGGUUUCUUCAGUUUACCGGCUUAUAUGUAGGCGAACUAGAGGGCUUAAUUACAUUUUUACUGGCCAACUAUUUAUACAGUUAAUAGGUAUAAAAGUCGAUGAAUAUAUGGAUGGCGAUUUUAUUUUCUUAAUGAAUUUAUGCAUUAGGCCUAUUUGUAUGGCGCAAAUGGCAUCAUCUGUGAUUACCAAUGUUGGUAUCCUUGGCUUUGGUUUUCCCCUCAUAACUGUUUUCCAUUUUUCGUGGCGUAGGGACUCUUCAAUUCGAUUGCUUAUGGGCUCAACUCCUCUGUCCGUAGAGCAAUUUCGGAAAGAGUCGACAUGUAAGUUAUAAGCAGUUCUGAAACUUCACAGGCAUAGAGAUCUAAUUUAAAAUCGCCAUACACUUAAAAAUUAGGAACAAGUUUUUAUUCUAAGUAUUGUACGUCCUAAUCAGGUGGAUACCGGAGAGAUUCGGAAGAUGGCUUCCUACUUGGCUGAAACCCAGAAGUCAACAGCAAGAAAACGAGCUCGUUUCACUUAUCGUUGAGGGACAAAGAUAGUAAAUUUCCAAUUCAGCUCUUUUUAUUCAUUUCAUGACACAAUUCAUUUAGACUCAUCAAGUUCAUUGGCGAGAAGAACAAGAGAAAUUGACGAAGAAUACCGAUUCAAAGCAGCUGCUCUACUCUACCUUCAUUUUUUCAUCUUGGUUUUUGCAGAUAUCGACACCAUUAAUAUUCUCUCUCUUAUAUUCCUGCUAUUAUUGUUUGUAGAGUUUUUCUUGGGGAAAAUCUUGAGGAUGGUAAGGAUAGGGUGGAGAGAAUUACUUGCAAAUAGAAUGCUCAAUAGAUUAGGAAUGUAAAUUGUUGUGCUCAGAUUAUUUUGUUUCCUGUUUUCCCCCUCUCCAGUGUAUCAUUGUCAGUAUAUUUUUUGAGUUCAUACCACUAUUUUUUUUUUUUUCUCUUUUUUCUUUGGAAUAAAUCUUAUCACAGUUUGUGGGUGAGCUAGCAAUUGUUUUUCGUAGAAUUACCAUACUUACGAUUUGGCCCUCUUUGUUUGCCCUUAUUUGAUUUUCAAGUUGGAAAUGACUUUCUGAUGAACUGAAGCUCGGGUAAAUAUUAUUUUUCCACCCUUGUUUGGUUGAUCGCAUGUUAAUGGCUUUGGAACUGUUGUUUAAGUUCUCAUUUUAAAUCAAUUGUAAUUUUUUCAUCUUCUUUUUCUAAUUCUAAUAGAAAGAAAAUUCUAAAGAAAAGGUUUUUCAAACCAUAAAAAAGUCUUUUCAUUUUUCUCUUCUUUAAGUCUUCCCAAUUCCCAAUUACCUUGAUAGGUAUCAAGAUAAGAAUCUUCGUGAACUGGGCUAUCUUUAUAGCAUGUCUCUUUAAAGUGAAAGUGGAAUUCAUCCUUUGUUUUUUCCGAGUGAAUCGUAAGAGAAAAAAUAUCUUUUUUUUUCAAUUUGUUGUCAGUCGGGGCGAGGGCCUUGCUCUGCUCUAGUUCACCUCCGGUAUCUGUAUGAAGCCUAAUCACUUAGUGUAAAGUCCCGGAGGUGAACUAGAGCAGUCCUUAAGGGGAUUUCUAAGGGGACAGAGUCCCCUUAGACCACGUAGCCCAGUUUGGCGUUAGCCAAUUCCCACCGGUAGGUGGAUGUGAGGCUUCGCGAAUCUCUGGACCCAUAAAAAGUGGAAUUUGUGCUUGUGGAAAUUAUCGAGUGAUCAGAGCUGAAAAAGAAGACCCGAAAUUUUGCGAACAAUGCGGGGUAGAAUUUGUUGACUCUCGGAUACGAAGAUAUCAAAUGGGAUACAUCAAACUCGCAUGUCCAGUGACUCAUGUGUGGUAUUUGAAACGUCUUCCUAGUUAUAUCGCGAAUCUUUUAGAUAAACCCCUUAAGCAAUUAGAAGGCCUAGUAUACUGCGAUGUGUGAUUUGAUCAAGAUUUUCAUUUUACAGAUUCGGAUUGAUUUUCAUUUAUUGUUUGUUUCCCUAAAAAUUUUCACAUUAGCAUAUAAAUGGAUGAAAAGAAGUAACAUUAGUUAAUUUUUCAGUAUCCAUUUAUAAGGCCUUUUGAGAAGGGCCAAGUCAAUUACGGUGGAUUUAAUUUAUAGCAAAUAAAAUAACAAAAGCGGACGAAUUUAAUUUAUAGCAAAUCAAAUAACAAAAGUGAAUAUUUACGGUCGAGAAUAGUUACACCCCCUUCCUCUUUCUGUAAAAGAAACAUGCCUCAGCCAAAAGAACACAAAUUCACCCCUCCAACUACAUAAAUACACGCAAAUCGACUAUAUUUGCACUGAAUCAUCCUAUUACAAAAGCUUCUGCUUCUUCAACAGUGAAUUUGUUCUGAAAAAAGACAUCUGAAAAUAAGCAUAAAUCCUGCAGCUUAGCAAGCAUUGAGCCUAUUGUUUUAAGUGCCGUAGCAGUUUUUCUUAUGAUUUCACAGAAAAAAAGUGGAACAUUACAAUGAGAUUGCUCUCAAUUGCACACAACAUGAUGAGAAUAAAUGAAUAUGCGAACAUGUCACUUGUACAGCUGUAUGAUAACCACUCUUAUGUACAAUUCAACAGAGCAUCCGCGAUAUAUCCGCCGUGAUCUUAUGCCCCUCUUUCGCGGUGGUGGCACAACGCGUUCGCGCAUGAGCUUCUAUGAAGAAUAGUCUCAGCAUGAAUCGCCGAAUUUGGGUACUUCUUCUUGUGCCUGUAGUGGUAACACUGGUGUUCUCCUUUCACUGGUGUUUCAAUCUCCAUCUCCAUUUUCUCCUUGUUAUUACUACUAUUAUCUUCUUUCUUUUCCUCAACCAUCACUUUAUAAACAAAAGGGUCCCCAAAAGAUGAAUCACUGAACUCCAAAAGAGACUCCAAAGCCUCAACAAUGUCCCUCAUAUUUGGCCUUGAUUUUGGGCUCUGGCUUAAGCAAUUGUAGGCUACAAGAGCAACUUUUUGUGCACCCUUUGUGGAGUAUUGGAGGUCCAGGUUUGGGUCCAUAAUCCGGUACAGCUUAUCGGGCUUUUUCAAACACGGUCGGGCCCAUUCGAUGAGGUUCUUCUCCCUCCUCCGGCGGGUGCGGUCGACGCACGGCCUCCCGGUUAGUAGCUCUACUAAUACCACUCCGAAGCUGUACACGUCGCUCUUCGUUGUAAGAUGACCUGGAGAUUACACAAU
rnacentral:lncRNA from 1 species